UUUUUUUUUUUUUUUAAUAAUUUAGAAUUUAUAAAUGGAACGAUAGAUAGUUACACAUUGCUCUGUUUUAAAAUUUUAUAAUAUUCUGCUAUUUAGGUUUUUAUCCUAUUUACCUAUCUCCGGAAGAAGAUUCAAAUUAAUGAUUAUAAAAGGCUAGAAGCAAAGUGUACGAUUACUUAAUUAGCUUAUAAGCAUGUGUGUUUUUGUACUCAUGGUUAAUUGAUCUUUCAACAACGUAGAUAAGGAUUAAGUGUUUAAUUAAAAAAAAACCCCCCCCCCAAGGCAAGAGACAAAGAUUGCUGGUCCAAUCCCCUUCGUAUACGUAGCUUAGCGAAUUAAGUGCGACGGUGAGCUUUGGCUAAUUUAUUGUGAUUUCGGUGAUGGGUCUACUCGUUUUGGUCCCCAUUGAACCAAAAGCAAAUCUUAAUCAUGUAAAUGGUUAUCCGCUGAUUCGGCAAAGAUAUAUACAUCCAUUGUUUGUGGCUCUAAAUAUUGUUAAGCAAAAUCUCCUAUUCUAAUUCAAACUGUUGUCUUGUCUUAGAGAGAUUAUUUACAUAGCAAGAAGCUUCUUUAUCCGUCACCCCACUUACCUGUUUCAAAACCUUAUCCCCAGAUUGUCUGGAUUUUGGAAAUUAAUUUCAUGAUAUAAUUUGAAGAAGAAAAAAAGGGCAUGUAAUAAGACUCAAAAUAUCUUUCAAUAUCGGACCAUUUUACUUUUGCAAAAUGCCUGUCAUACAUUUCUUUUCGAAGUGUUAUCACCACAUUCAAAUUUUUCUUUGAGAGGACAUGUGAUCGUUAUCAUCUUUAAAAUCUAAAUUUUUUAUUGACUCUGUCUAUAUUAUCAUCUGUUAAUUUAUCAUUACCACAUAAUUCUUCAAGUAAUUGUUCAUUUAAAUAUUUUUUUUGGGAUCAUUAAAUAUUAGGUCUAUAAUUUUAUCUCUAUUUCUAAUUAGGUCUAUAUUAUUGCCAUAUUAAUUUCUACUUCUUUUUCAUUUUCUUUUAAUUCUGGGUUACUUCUCUGUCUAUAAUUAAUAAAUCUCUGUUCAACAAAUGUUUAUAAUUACUUCUCUGUCUAUAAUUACCUAUUGUACGCAUCACUAAAGAGUUUCCUCAUUGAAGCAUCGACGUCUCUCUUGUUGUGAUCAAUUGCAAAAUUAUGCACACACUAAUUGGAAAAGAAUUUAAAAAAAAAAAGAAGCUUAAAUCUUAAUUCAUAUUUUGCCUAAAGGGGUUGCAGAAACUAACAUUAUAUUGAGAAACUAGCUAAGAGCAAACACAUCUGUUUAUACAUGAAAGCUGCAAAGGACUAGCGGUAGCAGUAAUCAACUAAGCAUCAAAAAUUAAACUCCAAAACAUCAUCAAAGUUAACAGACAUAUCCACCGCCAAGUCCAAGCUGUGAGCAGAAGCAGUGCAUGAUGAGUUGACUCCAGAAAUCACAUCCCCAUGAUCAGAAGAAAGUACUUUCAUGUGUUCAUUUGAUUCAAAUGCUGGGAAGUCAUGUGACACAAGAUAUUCAUCAGAUGAUGAUGAUUGGUUGUGAGUCAUAUCGCUUAAAGGUCCCUGAUCAUCCUUAUUUGACUCCUGCUUUAUUGAUGGGAAUGAUGAUAAAAAUGGGUUAAAAUCUUUUUCGGUGAUGUGGGCACUACCAAAGCUGAUCAUUGGACACUGAUCACUAGUAGUAGAAUCUAGCAUCAGUUGAGAGGACUUGAUCAAACUUUUGCAAGUGUGGCGGCCAUAAUAUGUUGUUCUGUGUAGUGGAGGUUCCUCUUGAAUCCUUUGAACCUGCUUACUUGCUUGGCAGCCUUGAUCAAAUUUAUGAGUGCACCUGAAGUAAUUCCUGCACACAAGAAAAUCAACACCAAUUAGGUUAUCUAACUCUCCUGAAUGUGUAUUUUAUAAAGUUAAUUUAAUGAACAUACUAUUAAGUUAUCUUAAUUUGUGAGCUUUCAUUAUUGAAAAUUGUUAUACCUUGGAAAUCUGGCAUUGAGAAUCACUUUUUGCCCAUAUUUCCUCCAUGCAUGGCCAUCAUCUGUCAGAGUAGAGCUAUGUUCUGUCCAUGACUCCGCACACUUUCUGCAAUCAAUAAAAUUGCAAAUUUAACUUCAAAAGAAUUCCAUUACAUCAGCACAAGGUAAGGGGCAUAACUGUAACUCAAAAGCAUAGAUAAUUAGAUACCGUCACUAGAAAAUACUGUCACUAGAAAAUGAACACGCAAAAUACCACCCAUAAAAAAUAACAAACAGAAGUUAACUUUUUUUUCAUGCUAAACUUACUAAAUUGCCCUUUUCUUUUGUCAGUGAUUGAAAUCAUAUAAGAAAAACAUAGAAAUAAAUAAAAAGGCUUAUACAUUAUUAUUACCUUCUCUUGUAGCAUCCUCUCCGGUCUUUAACGGUUGAGCUCUUGCUGCUUUCACCUGAAUCCUCCGUCUUCAAAUAAGCCUCCCAGCAAGGAGAGCUCAAUUGGGUAUGUUCUUGAACUUGGGACGCUUCAUCAGAGUCACCAUUUUUCAAUAUUGAAAGAGAGUUUGUAAAUGAGCUCAGUAUAUUUGCCACGAGAUCUUGGUUGAUGAUCAUCGCUUUUGACCCUUCUCCACUUUUUGUGGACUUGUGAAUGAGAUUUCGAAGCUGGAGUGCCAUUUCUUGGCCUUUGAUAAGCUCUUCUAUGGCCCUUCUUCGAUCUGAUGAAUUCUCUAGCCAAGAAGAUGAAGAUGUGGCCUGACCGGCCUCCAUUUUCAUUAUGAUUUUUUUCCCCCUUUUUUUCCAAGUAGGAGUAGCAAAAGAGAAAAGGCAAAUGCUUGCUUUUAAAUAUGUGAGAAGCAUGAUUCCAGCAGCUAAUUAUACAGGAAGCUAACAAGGAAAAUUCCACAAUCAAAGAAGUUACUAAUCCCACGCGCAUUUACCGUUCGCGAGGAAUAUUCUAACUUUCUAACCGAGAAAAAUGCUAGGUGGCACCGUGCGUUGCACUUUACUUUCAUGAUAGCGCGUGGGAAAGAGUUUUGCGUGACGGAGGGGGUGUGAGGCAAUAGCGUUACGUCAUGGCGUUGCGUCAGCUUCUGGAAUGGAUGGGCCCCAUACUUGUUAAAAAAUUUCCAAGUUGUUUGAUUAUCUCGUACACUACCAGAUUUCUUCUUAUCCUUUCAGACCCGGAUUCUCAAAAGACGAUAAUAACCCUAUUACUGCUGCUGCUGGAAGCGGAAUGCUUGAGGGGUAAUUUGGAAAUUAGAACAAAACGACAACAGUAGAGCUGUUGACUCAAUUGAGUUACACGCCCCAUGUGCCCAGGUCCCUGAUAUUAGGAUCUAAAACAUUGCUUCACUCAGCUUUGGAUAAAUAAAUAUCCAUUUAUUACAACGUUAUUAUACUAAUAGAUGCACUUUCUUAAUCUAAUAGUUUACUAUAAUUAGAAACUUAAUCGCGACAAAAUUUUAUCCCUCAACUCAGUGAUGCUUUAACUUUCGAUCUCUUGUUUUCAAUUAAAAGAUUUUAUAAACUAAAUUAAUUUUCAUCCACUUCUAAAUUCUAUUUUGUUUUUAAAAUUUUAUUCACAUAAAAAUGACUAGGUAAAUACAUUUAGAAAUUUUAAUUAUAAAUACAUCUAGAUUUUAUUAUAAUAUUAUAUAUAUAACAAUUAUGAUGGUCCGGCUACAGUGCAACUGUGGUACCGUGCCACAGUUGCAUCUAGCCGUUGGAUGCACUUGAAUAGAUGGGGGUCCACAUACAUCCAACGGCUGGAUACAACUGUGGCACGGUACCACAGUUGCACCACAUAUUUUCCCUAAUUAUGAUUACUCCCAAUGAUCAAAUGUGGUAUUGGCCAUAUAAUAGAUCCAAAAGCCAAUGUUAGAUACUCUUUUAAACCUUUCUUCUAAUUUAUUAUAAUUUUUGACAGUCUGGCAUGCAUGUGUUUUAUGUAUACGACAUAUGCAUAAAAGCACUGAUUGGCUCAACGGGUAAUAUUAAAUGGUAUGUCAAGUUCGAAAUUUGAAUUCAACACAACAAAGAGAGGCUUGAUUUACAGAAUAAUAAAAAGUUUUGGUUGCACAUGAAUCAUGAGGGAAAGGUGGAUGAGAACAGUUGACAACUGACCCUUCUCCGAAAAUAUCUAUGUUUACAUUUGGGGUGAAAUGUCUAAUUUGUUGACGUUUAAACAAUUGGUGUAAUUAAUCACUACCAAUGGCAGUGGCGUAGCAGCAGCACUCUACAGCAGAAAGGCAAAACUUAUUUAAUUGUAGCACAUUGCCUAGUUAACUGAGAUUGAACUGAAUAUCCUCGCAUUGAUGUCAACUCUUUUAAUGCAUUUUUCAAGCGUAAAAAUGUGAAGGUCUGAUCUUUACACUACUAUAUACUAAAUACAUUCUCACCAUUUUUCUUCAUUUACCGUUUCAUUCUCUACACAAGCCAUUAGAGUCCCCUAACAUCACGAUCGCACUCUGACCAUCAUCACCUCAUUACUACAUUUUGCCAACCCAAACUCUAAAAGAAUCAACAAAUAUGCUAAAGAAACAAGUUGCCUCGCCGGCACUUCGCACUCAUUUUGCCUUCCCAUUAGAAUCAUCAGCUGCUGAUUUCUACACGCCAAAUCACUCUUCUUGGCUUGCUCGGCCUCUCUGACCAAAUGCACACUGGUGCAAAAUCAACUGUGUAACUCACCUGAGAAACAGAGACCGCAAAACAUCAAGAGGGUUCAGUAAAAUAACAGAGAACUUCAAAUGUUAAAGCAAGAAAUAAAUAAUGUUAAUUUUAUAUCAUGAUAACAUCUACAAACUAAAAGUUACACCAUAUGCAGUCAACAAUAAAUGUGAAACACUAUGGAUUAAGUUAGACAUGCAAGAAAAAAUAUCUCUGCAUCUCCCAUUACAUCAUUUGGAAUAGUUGAUUUUGUUAAAUUAUUCAUCCAGUGUUCUGAAGUCACCUAAACUUUUUAAGUCGUGAUCAUCCACAGGACGCCAGCUUUACAUUUCUAUGUAUUAAAACAAUUUGCGCUCCAUGUUAAUCCCUAUUAAGAGUUGUGCCAUCAACAUGGGAAGUAGAGUGCAGCACAAACAAUAACAAAUUUCGCCUAAACAUACUUAGACUCCUUUGAUUCUAACAGUAAUUAAAUCUCUGCCAAAACACAAGUAUGACGAAUUUGGCAAUAAUCAUAAAUUUAAUAUCAUUUCAAAUAAAUUCCUCUCAUGAAAAUGAAACAAGCAGAAUUACAUUUGUUUGAUUGACGGUACAUACAUAUGAAGGGUAACAAGACUAGCUGUAAAAUCCUUAAUAUACACAAAAUAACUUGCAGAAAUAUCGUCAAACAUAAGUAAACUUAUAGUUGACCUGCGCUAUAAAUGGCAUUUACCUAUUCUAUGUACGAUCAGGAUCCCUUUGGAUCACUUCUCACACAUUUAAAUCAGUUAAAUAAUUAUCCAUGCCCUGAGAAAAUAAUGAACAAGGUAUGCUCAUAUCAUUUUCAGCUGACUUCAUAAAGAAGUAUACACAAUGAAGAACUUACCAUAAAAGUUCAGAGCUACAUGCUGUAAGAAUGCCGUAUGAUGGAUAAACACAUGGGAAGCCAUCUUAAGAAUGGAUCAAGAACAACAUGUAAGCAUAAUCUAUCUGGAAACUUGAUCUGCUUGUGGCGCCAAAUAAUUGGACCCUUUCCUUAGUACCUCAGCUUCUCUGGCUAUCUGGAUAUCUGAUGGCCAAAAAUAUUGCUGUACAACUUUGAAAAGAAAACGAGGGAGCAAUGCAACAAUUAAAAUAAGAAAAAUGAUGAGCCAGUAGGUAGGUGACUUAGCCAGAUGGUAGAUUGUCCUGCCAAAAGCAAAAAGUUUGUUUGCUUAAUCACAUAAAAACCAGAAUGAGAUAGGCAAUAAAAUAUGUCCCAUUAAGAAGCAACAAACUAACCAGUAAUUGGGAAAUACAGGAAUAGAAUCCAACACCACCAUGCAGGCAUACGUAGUAAUUAUCGAGCCCCAUACCGCAGCAUGAGUAACAAAUACCCAACGCUGAAUGUCCAUUGCCAGGAGUAUGUUAACAAGGAUGACCACUGCUAUUGUCCAUACACUGCCCAUGCUCCAAAUAUCAAUUGUGCUGUUCUGGUAGGCAUAUAAAGGUAUAUAGAAGAGAACAAGACUCUGCCACAGUGUGUCACACAUUGUGAGCCAGAAGAGCUGCAUAUUGUAUGCUUCUUGUCUAUGCCCCGCACCAUAAAGUUUUGGAUACUGCAUUAGUGUCUUAUGGCUUAAGUCCUUGUCGACAAUACCAACAACAAUAGUGGGCACAGAUGUAUAUAAAAGAGAAUAAAAUACACUACUCCAAUCUGUUAAUGCAGAAGUUGUUGAAAAUCCUGUGAAUAGUAUGUACCUACAAAAAUAAGUAAAACCAUGUUAAUAUGAAACCAGCAAUCCUAAAGGGUUGCAGCAUUUGUGAUCCAAAGAGAACAUAACUUCACUUUUUGGAAUUCCAUAAUACUGAAUUACUACCUACAUUUGUGGAUUAAAUGUGUUACAUAAAAAGCCAAGUCAGAUCAUGAAAAAGGAAAAAUUAAAACAACUAAUUCCGUCCAGAUCUGCAGGACAAUUUGAUGAUAGCCAAAAGUAGCAGAGCAUUACAUAAACUAGAAUCCACUUUUUUUUCCCCCGCAAGUUAUGAAACAGGAAAAAUAAUUCAAAGAACUAAUUCCAUCCAAAUCCCCAGGGCAAGAUAGCCCAGAAGUACCAAAGUAUUAACAUAAACUAGAAUCCAUUUCUUUUUUUUCCUACUUAAGAAACAGGAAACCAGAUUCUACGACACAGGAACUUAAUUCAAAUACUGGUCAACUUAUAUUGCUUUAUUUGUCACUGAAUACAAAUGAAAGUAUUGCAUAUUACUGAUAACAGUUUCAUUUUCAGAAUUCUUAAAUCUGUAUAAGUAAUGCCUAAACAUCAACGAUAUCUCCCACCAAAGGCAAUACCUAAACAUGUAACACAUACUAUGAUGCAUAAGAUUUAGAUCGGACAUAAAAGAGAGCCAUGCAUACCAAAAUAACAUCAACACAAAAACUGCAUUACGGUAGAAGUUGUAUAGAACUAAAUAUCCAAUUCGCUGAUAAUUCCAGUGGCCAUGCACCAGAAGUAAUCUUUUCAGAAACCGGAACUGUCCCAUUGCAAAGUCUGAUGCCAUCACUGCUUGACGGCCUUCCUGACCACAUAUCCCAACACCAACAUCUGCCAUUUGGAUCAUUGAAACAUCAUUCGCCCCUACCAAAAAUAUCAUUUGGUCAGAUAAAAGUAAGAACAGCUUACCAAGAGUGAUUUAGUGUUUACACUGAUUUGUAUCCUCACAAUGUGAAUAAUUUGAUAAAAUUGAAACUAGGUAAUAAGUAUAUGUUCCAUGUCCAAGCACUGAAUUAUUACAAGGUGGCCAGAUCAAACCAACCAAGAUGAAGCUCACUCCCCUCCCCAAAAGCAAAAGAACCAUCAGAAAGACAACUCACCAUCACCUAUAGCCAGGGUCAUAUCGUCAGUGCGGCUCUUGAUUAGAUCAACAAUUCCAGCCUUCUGCAAUGGUGCAACACGACAGCAGAGCACAACCCGACAGGAAGUUGCAAGGUCAAAAAGCUGUUGCAAAAAAAUAAUAAUAAUCAAUCAUAUUAAGCAAGAGUUAUAAACAUCCAAAGUACAAGGAAGCUAAUUAACCAAAUCAUUAUGCAGAAAUAAGUAAAUGUAGUACAAGCACUUCACUGAAGUAGGACUGUAGGAGAAAAAGGUUCAUACAUCUGACUCUAAAUCUUUCUCCAGAAUGUAUACCAAACUAUUCCCAUCAAUGAUGAGUGCUAAUGAUGCAAUCGCUGCUACUUCCUUCACAUCAUGCCCUUGUGGCACAUCAGAAAACUUUGCAUCAUUGGAUAUCGCAAGAUAUUCAAUUUCGGCACUCCUUUUCAACUUCGAGUUACAUUUUGUUGUAUUUGAUGAUUUCACACCAUAUCUGGCCUUUGCAUCAGCCAAAAGAUCUUUGCACUCCUCCUCUGAAUUUCCAUUUAUAAUUAUUUGCUGCAUAUCUGGGGUCAGAAGUUUGCAAGAGAGAGCAAUUGAAAUUGCUGUGUCUUGUUUAUCCCCAGUCAGAACCCAGACCUUGAUUCCUGCUUGCCGGAGGGCCUCGAUGGCUUCUGGUACACCGUCUUGUAGCUUGUCCUCGAUUCCAGUAGCUCCAAGUAAAGUCAAGUCACAUUCAAUAAGAGCAGCUGUCUGACGAAGUUUUGAAGCUCUGUCAACUAAAGAAGUGCUUGCAUCUUCAUACCUGUGUUGCCACUGCUUGAGUUCUUCAUCUGCAAGAUCCCGUGAAGCAACCACAAGAGUGCGUAAGCCCUGAGAUGAGUAUUCACUAAGAUGGCUCUGAGUUAUAUGCCUUAUAAGAUCAUUCCUCUUAGAAUCUUUAGCUAAUAUGUUGAACAUUGAACUAUCAGCUCCCUUAACCAACACCUUCACAGAAUUGUCAGGGAAUCUGAUAACCACAGACAUUCUUUUCCGAACACUAUCAAACUCAUGCAACCCCAGUACAUCCAACCUACAUGCAACAUUUUAGAUUAGCAUAUGGAGCAUCCAUUUUGACAAUAUAAAAAGUGUGUCACCAGAAGAUUCAAAUACCCAACUUCAGUAAGUAAUUUGGGAUGAACAGGUGGCUGAUGAAAGUCAUACACAAGAAAAGAGAACAUAAAAAGUGAGAAACUGUGUACCUUAGCCCUUCACCAUUAAUGUCAAUCACAAUAUGUCCAGAUGUGCGCUCAAACAGAGUAUAUCCAUAAGCAGAGGCUGCAGAAACUAAUGCUUGCUCAUCAGGAGAUUCACCCUGAUAGUCAAUGGCUUCCACAUUUUCAAGUAAUCCAUUUGUGCAUCCGGAAGAUCUACUGGGAGUAGGAAUUGGGAUCACGGUAUUACAAGCAGCCAGUGUAAGGAAAAAUUCAUGAGCGGCAAUCCUUUCAUCUCCAACUAGGUCUUUGGAUAACAACUCCAUGAGUUUAGAGUCAACAGAAAUUUCAGAUUUAAGCUUCCAUCUCCUAACAGCAGCUGUUAGAGCAAAAGAUCAAAAAAGAGAGAAAUUACACAUGAUAAAUACUAACACAUUAAAUAAAUCUUAUAGAAUCAUCAAAUUAUUUAAGUUCAUUGAUAGAAAACCCCCCCAAAAAAAAAUGAAUUCUAUUACUGGCGACAGCUUUCAUAUUCUCUCUUUCCAAAAGGCAUUACCUUGAGAAAAUAAUGCAGAUCUAAUAUAGACACUAAGAAAAAAAUUUCUUCAAGAGCAAUUGGAGAAUACUUUUACUUUCUUAAUGAUUAAAUGCAAUUAAGAGAUGAGCAGUCCCUGAGAAGACACCAUUUUCACAUUAUAGACUGUCAAAUACCUCAGAGACCCCUAAUUUGAAAGGAAACAAUGCACAAUUACAAGCCAAAAUAAACCGUAGGAACUUUACAAAUUUUCAAGCCCAUCACUGUCAACCCACAGACGGCCAAAAAUUGCAGCUGCAAAUAACUUGUUUGCUUCCUCAUUUAUUAAAUGUUUCUGAAUUCCAGCAAAUUAUGUUAAUCUUUUAAAAGAUAUAAAAUACACAAGCCAUUUGAAGGUUCUAGCUAACAAAUGGUAAUAAAAUGAGAAGAUUGCGCUCAAUCAGUUACAGCACAUGAGACAAUAGAAGGUGGCCUUAAUUAAAUCAAGUAUGCAGUCAAACGGUCUCUGUUAUUAAGAAAGGAAAACUAUCAAAUGAUAAAAUGGGUACUUUGUCAUACCUGCAGAGACCUGUUGGGCCAAUAGCAAGGAGUUCCCAUAAUUCUUCCCGCAAACACUAGCUCUUUGAAAUUCCAUUUUGUUCUCAGUAAGUGUCCCCGUUUUGUCUGAAAAUAUAUAGCGAAUUUGACCCAAAUCCUCAUUUAUACUCAAUGUUCGGCACUGAAACCUUGAGCCAGAGCUACUGUCGUACAUAUGCUUGUCUUCGAUCAUGAAAUAUGACUGUCCUAAACGAACCAAUUCCAUGGUAAUGUACAGAGAUAUAGGUAUCAUUAUCUGAAAAACUAUAAUAGAGCUCAAAAAAGAGAAAAAAGUCUCCAUAGGGAUCCCAUAAUAUUUAAAUUUUUUAUGGUUAUUCUUCCCAUUGGUGAAGUAUAAUUUCCUGUAAUAAGGCAAAGUAUCAAGCCGGUCUUUGUAGCGUACAAGCCAUAGACCCAUCCCAAGUGCCACAACCAGACACAUCACCAGAAGGAAAAUAGAUAACCAUAGGGUCUCUCUGUUCAUGUAAUUUUCCAGUCUGCUUCGCUUGGAUGGUGAUGCUGCACUAUUUAACAUUGCUUUUGUCUCCUGUCCAGCAUAUACCACAACACCAAUUAUCCAAUCAGUAUUCUUCAGCUGACAACCACGCAAAACAAUGUUGGAUUGGCUAAGGGGGAAUUUUUGGCCAUUGAACUCCAUAUUGGCUGUGAACUCAUAAACGUUCCUAUUAGGUUGCUCACAUUUGAUAGUCCCUGAUACAAUAGAACCUUCAAAUACCGUAGAAGCUGUUUCCUGCCUGGCAUACCUUGUCUUCAAGUUCGACUCACCGUCCAAAUUCAUUGUUUGAAUGUAAGCAAUUCCACUAGGAUCACUAGUCCCCAGCAACACCACGUCACAUGGAAUUGAGUCAUCAGAACAGAUCUUCACAACUUCGCCAGCCCUUAUGUUUUUCCACUUUUUCAAGUGAAAUUGAUCAGAUUGAAGUACUAGUGCCUCACGGUUGUUCUCAUUCCGAUCUGAUCUGUGUCUUCGCCAAUCUUCAUAUCCAUCUUUAAUAGCGGUGACAAAGAGCACAAACAGUAGGGGGAAAAGGGACACUGUUCUCCCAAAGACUGCGAGAGGGGGCAGCUGAUUAAGAGCAGCAAUAGCCAGGAAAUAUAAAUAAGCUACCCGAUGGAACUGAAUGAAAAGAUUCUUGGGCAAGAAGGUGAUCAGGGUAUAUUUGCUAGUUCGGAUCUCAUUCCCAGUGAACUCAUACUUGUCAUUUGUUUUCCUCGGAUGGUUAAUGUAAAUUGAUCUGGGAUUCUCUUCAUGACACAUAUUAUCUUCAAACUGAGUGCUUUUAUGACAUACUCUCUGCGAUUUGCAUGCCUUUUCCUGCCCUAGAGAUGAACCUUUGGAGAUUUCAAAGGUGGCUGAAGUUAUAUUGCUAUUACCCAGCUCCAUUGAAACCAGGUGUAACGACUUCUUCACAGGGCAUGCCAAUGAAAUCUCCUUAGGUAAAAGUGGGUCUACAGUAGCAGUUUCGUUAUCGUUGUUGGUGCCAAUGUCUUCGUCCUUCAAGUCAAUAUCGCUGAGGGUGUCAUCAGUAUUGGAAGAAGAGGACGAAGCAUUGGAGCAAAUAUAGCCUAAAUUAUCAGAACGAUAUCUCACAGAUGAGGCUGACAGCAAUGGCUGCUGCCCACGGCUCAUAAAUUAUUCUCCAAUGCCCACAUUGGAGAAUUGGACUGAUAACUUGCCCCCAAUGCUAAAGCAAAAACCCAAGCCACCCACUAAAAGCAAUGGUUUGUCACACCAAACAAUUCCCUAUUGUUUGCUUUUCCCGGCCAAACUAAACAAGCCAGAGAAAUCUGGGCUCUAUUUGUCAAAAAUCGACAACUUUUCACCCAAAAAAACCACAUUUUUCUUCUGUAGUAAAUCAAUCAACGCACCAUCGCUCCCCCUUAAUCCAAACAUGCAAUUGAAUUCCAACAAACCCUCACGAAAAUGCUCCUCAAUCCCUCAGAAAGAUAUCAAAAGCUUCCCUUUUAAUGGCAAAGCAGAAUUUUUUCCCCCCCAAAUCCAGAACUGAAAAACACACAAGACAAACACACACACCACACACAGAGAAGCAGCGCAACAAAAACGUAUCAGAAAAUGACAGAGUCUGUAUAACCCUAAACUGAAUCAACAAAAUAAAAAUUCAUAAUUCACAAAACACAAAACACAAAAGGCGAUUGAUUGUCCCAAAAACCACAGCAGUAAUGAGAAAUGAUGACGCACCUCAAAAGCAGAGGCAGGAGGCAAUGAUAAAAGCUUAUCGUCUCGGGAUUAAGAUUAAAAGGGAGGAGUGUAGAUCAGACGGCUAUGAAUGCACUGAAAACGAAAUCAUGGAGAUGUGGCAGAGCGACGGAUCAGAGUCGAACAGAUGAUAAAAGUAAUAAUAAUAAUCAGAUCUCUCUCUCACUCAGUCAGUCUCGUGCUUGACGAAAAGGAAAAUUGAACAAUGGGGGCCCUCCAGACAGACAACGGAACGGCACGGAAGGGGGGAAAGAAACAGCAAAAUAAUCGGAGACAACGACUGAAUGAACGAUGACCGGAUGAGUGGUGUGCCUCAAUUCUUGGCUUUGCCCUGUCACACACACCUGCUCACCUUUAUACGUUAUGUUAUUGUUAAUGUAUACAAUACUAUGUACACCCAUGUGUAUAUCAAUCUCUGCCGCUUUUGCCCCCUUAUUUUUUAAUUGAUUUGAUGUUUGUUAAAUCUUUUUUUCUUUAAUUUUGUUAAAUCUAAUUUAAUCUACUAAAAAAAAUGAAACUUGGAAAUUUGAUUCAUUUUUUAAAGUUAUUUUAUUAGUUUUUAUAUGGACUGAAAUUUUUUAGUACGGCCACAUUUAAUAUGGAUAUGACUAACACCUACAAGGACCCAAAAAUGUAAAGCAAACCCCCGUGCAUUUAGAGGAAUUUAAUUGGUCCUCCUCGGCGUCGGGUUAAAAUUUAGAUUCCGAGACUGCCCUCGACGUACGGCGCGUACUAAAGGAACGGCCGACGGAACAGUGUCAAUUCAGAUAAUUGGAUGCCAAACGGAUAGGAGGAGCCUGUGAAAUUUUGGCACGUCGCUUUCGCCUCUGUCCGCUGUUCAAAAUUUUUGCUUCUAAAUCUCGAAAAUGCCCCUUACCGAAAUAUACUGUUUGGUGGGUCCGGGCCAAGUACAUCUUAUCGAACUGUGGCCGUCGAUGAGAUGGAAUAUCGUGCGGUUGAUGUUGCUUUGGAGGUACAAAAAGGAGAUUUCAUUCUUCUCCUCUGUCUAAACAACAGUACUUGACUUUUAGCUUUUCAGUUGCAGUGCAGAGAGAGAGUUUUGCCGAGUUCUUACUCAAAGUAGAGUCCUGCAGUAGUCGUGGUGUUUGGGUUACAAAAUCUUAUUAGGCUAGAGAUAUAUCCUUUGUCCUCGCACUUUCUGUGGUAAAAUAUUUUGUCUUACCCGUGAUGCCCAUCCAAAUAUUUGUUUUAUUCUGUACUUGGUGACUUUUUUGUUUUUUUUUUACACUAAUAAAUUACACUAAAAGUGUAUCAAACUUAUCCCGAAAAAAUCUAUUACGACACAACUUAAAUUUCUACUUUCACAUAAUAUUAGAGAGAUAUUUAUUCCAUUCAUAUGAAUGAGAGAUAAAAUAUAUCUCUUCUUGAUUUAAUUGAGAGGAAAAUUUAGAUUCGGCCACUAUCAUACUCGAAUCCACGCACUCAAAGUUAAUUCACCCAAAUUUGUUAAGAAAUCCUCAUCGAGAAAGGUACUUAGAAACUAUUAGUCUAAAAAAAGAAAGCUUGUUAUUGAGAGAUAGAAGACAUCUUUUUCAAUGCCAACCAAAACAAUAAAAUAUUAUUAUGUUACGCUAAAUCAUUUGUUUUAAACAAAUAUUGCAUUAAAUUUUUUAAAGAAAAUACAAAAUUAUUCUAAUAAUUUUAAUUUAAAAUAGACUAUUAAUAUAGUUAUAUGUUCAAUUGUUAUGUAAUGUUUAAGUAUUUUUAAAUUAAAUAAAACAAAUAUUAAAUGCAAUUAGUCAUUGUAUUAGUCUCUCUCUCUCUCUCUCUCUUUCGUUUAUUUUAUUUUUCUCACAGACAAACUAAGCUGGUAUAUAUGAUGAGCAUGUAACCUUUAAGUCCUAACUAUAAGACGUGUGUACAACGAACAAUUUUAACAGAAUAUUUUAUGUGUAAAUACUUAAAAUAAUUAUAGAUUUAUUGACAAAUAUUUAUUUUUCAAUUAUUGAUUGGACUAUACAUCAGGUAUACUAAAACUUAAUUAGUAUCAAUUACUCUCAAAAUCAUUAAUUACCUUCUAGUGUGUUUAUAUGAGUAAUUUUGGAAUAUCUCCUAUAACGUAAACAACACAUUUUAUUUGUAAUGAUCACUUCAAAUAAAUUGAGGUUUAUUGAUAAGAGUCUCUUCCAUCAUAAAUAAAAAAUCUAACAGACUGACACUGAAUAUUUAAAAAUUCAGAUAGUGCUUAAAUUUUUCAAAAUAAUUAAUCACCUCCUAAUGUGCCCUAGUAGAAGUUGAUGUUUCAUAUACAACAAACAACAUACUUUAGUCAUUAAUGAUGGUGGUUACAAAUAAGUAUAACCUUUUUGAAUUUUUGGAGGCUUGAGUCAUAUUUAUCUAUCUAUUUAUUACAAGAAAAAGGAAAAAAAAAUCAAGUCUUUUUUUUAAUUAUUGAUAUAAUUAAUGAUGUCGUGGGAUAAUCAUGUUCACAAGAUCAAUAAUUUAUAAUUAUCAUCAAAAUUAAUUAUUUCGUUACUAAUUACUGUUUUACGGCACUCAUUUAAGUGAAAGCACCCAGAGGCAAUUAACCCAAAAGAAGCCCAAGCCCAAACAAAUAAAACAACAUGGUAAAGCCGCUGUGCGGCAUCAGAAACCGUUCAUCCGCCCAGGCCUCGCAAAAGAAGCAGCUUUCACAACCUUCUCGAAAGACAUUAUCAAACAAAGCCUCCUCUUUAGCCUCGACUUUGCUUCUUCCAGUUUUACGUGGUCAACAACUUCAGAUCCCACUGGUAAGUUUUCUAUCUUAUCUAAUAUGUUCUUUUUCUUUUUCUUACGUUAGAUCUUUCAGAUUUGUCUUCGCUUGCUCGUUUGCUCACCUACCGUUUAAUUUUUUUCAAUAUUUUUUCUUUUCCAAUUUUUUUUGGGAUUAGGUAAGAGUUCGGGGAUUUGAGCAGCUAUGGAGCAAGAACUGGUGGAGCUAUUUGACGCCGCAAAGAAAGCGGCGGACUCGGCGGCCAUUGACGGAGUGUCGUCCGGUGGGCCCGAGGUGUCGCGAUGUGUCGACGCCUUGAAACGGCUCAAGUCUUUUCCCGUUACGUAUGAUGUGCUCGUCUCCACUCAGGUAUUGUUAAAUGUUCAUUUUGUGGUUUUUUUUAACAUGUUGUUUGAUUUUGGGAAUUGGUUGUAAUCAGGGGAAAAAAUAUUAUUAUUAUUAUUUUUUUAGUUUGGUACUGCAGAUUGUGGGAAUUUGAUCUAGUUUGAAUAGAAUGCUGAUUUGUGAUUGAUUGUAAUCAGUAGAUGAAAAUAUAUAAUGUUGUGUUAAUUUUUUUUAAUUAUUUUGGUUGGUUUUGUGUUUUAAUGUAAAAUAAAGUUGAAAAGUAACUGUUGUUGAUGAAAGAAAGGAAUAGAUUCUUUUCUUCUUAGCUAUUCAAUUGUUUUUAUUUUGAAUUUCUGAAGUAGAGAAUCUCUUGGAAUUUGAUGUUUGAAGGUAUUAUGAGGAGACCUGGUUCCUAUUUUAGGGUGUGGCCACACUUUUACAUCAAUAAACCUGAUAUUGUUGGUCGAUCAAUUCAGUUAUUGUGCUGUGUGAUUGUUGUGUUCACAUGCGGAACUGUAUUAUGUGCAGUUGGUUGUGCUAAGGGAUACUCUUUUGGUGGCAUUUUUAUUUUUGCAUGCAUAACAGUCCUACUGUCUUCAAAAUGUCUUUUUUUUUUACACAAGUGUUGUGACAUUUGCAUUUGCUGUUGUAAGAUACUCACAAUUCCACGUGGAACUAAACAAGCUCGCUUAAGGGCUUAUAUGUUAAGACUUACUUUGAAUUUAUUGACAAGCUCAAACGGAGGGCUCCCAUAUCCACCAGAUAGGCUGGCCCAAGGGGCCCAAUUCCAUAAUCUGUUAAUUGAGUGACUGCACUGGCUACCACUCAUGUGUAAGGGUUGCAAAUCCACUGAAAUUGGUCACUAUGUGUGCUGUGUGCGUGGGCUCGGCCUGUUUUCUACCAUCUUGAUGAUUCAAUUUUUGUUUUAUUGAAUGGUCCAUUGGUUUUUGAGUUUCAACCAAUGAUGCAGAAUAAAGAUGAUAUAAUUAUUUUUUAUAUAAGUUAUGUGUUUAAAAAAAUAUAUAUUUUCCUUGAGUAGUUUUCUUAUUUGAGUAGGAUUUUGCAUUUCAAGUAGAUUGCCUAAGAUUGAUGUUCAGGGUUUGGCCACUAUAACUAGGGCCUUAGUUUUCAUUUUCAAGUAGAUUGUGAUGGUUAUUCACAUAAAAUAAUGAUUAUUCCUCUUGAUCUUUUUUCCUACCAUUCUCUAUGAGUUUCUUCUCUUUGUUCUCUAAAUUUCUGGUCUUUGUACUAAAUUCUUCUCUUAUUUUCCCACUUUCUUCCAAGUUUCUCCCGCCUUUGUCUAUUAGUUAUCCUGAGGGUCAUCCAUUGUACAUUAAUCUGUCACUUACCUUGAUUUUAGCAUUGAAUCAGUGUUUCUGAACUGAUUUUUGCUGAAAUAAAGGCUGUGGCUGUCUGUUCUGCAAAGUAUCCAUAGAGUGGUUCCAAAGCUACUCAAAGUGCAGAAAUUUCAUUCUCUCUUCUCAGAAGCUGCUGAGCCUGGAUCAUCGAUCACUAGCUGCUUCUUCACCAUCUUGAUAACCUGUCGCUGUUCUUUGCUGCUGCACUUGUAAGUGCAUUCUUGCAGCAGUGUUUCAUUGUAUCCUAGAGUUCAGAACAUUGUAUACACCCUUUUUAUACUGGAUUGACUUACCAGAGAGGCGGUAUUUGGUCUUAGGGACAGUGGCACUCUGGCACGCCUCAAUGCUUUCCUUUAUCCCGACUCUAUUGCAUUUCUUUGCUGCUGUGAAGUUCUUAUCUGCUGUUGUCAAUCUGCUUCUGUGCCUGAUGUUUUUCUGUUCUGGAGUUUUCUAUUUUUCUUAGCUGAUUUCUGCCAUUUUCGCUGUUUGUUGGUUCUUUUGCUGCAGAUUUUUCGUGCUGGUCUUUCUGUUUUUGGUUGACGUUUUUGGGCAUAUUCACUGAUGGUUGCAGGCUUCCAAGAAGCAAUCUUACCAUACUCAUUUUAUAGUAGGAAGGAUAGCAUAUAGGAACUGAAAUUAUCCUCUAAAUCUUACUUACAAGCUCCAAAUCCAUGGUUUUGAAUAACCAAUUAUGUCUUAAGCCUAUUUUUUUAAGAUGAUGGCGGUGACUUCAAACAUUUUCCUCCUUGCAAUAUUUUAAUGUAAUAAAAUUAUAUAGGUGGUGGGACUUUCUGUCUGUUUUUUGGUUGUUAUCUCAGCAGUUGUUGCAUGCUUCUUUCUCAUGUAGCUAUUCCUUUUAUUUUUCAGAUAUCUUUAGAUUUCAAAACAAAACACGGUACCACAUCUUUCAGAUUCCUGCACUUGGCCUUUAUGUGUGAACAAAUGUAUUAAUCAGUGUAACUUGGUUUUAUACCAUAUUACAGGUCGGGAAGAGGCUUCGACCCCUCACCAAACAUCCAAGAGAGAAGAUUCAAAUUGUAGCCUCUAACUUGCUCGAUAUUUGGAAGAAAAUAGUCAUUGAAGAGACAACCAGAAAUAAGAAAAAUGGCAGCACUGGCAAUAAAUCUUCAGUUACAACUGGGGUUGUGAAGCCAGAUUCUGGCAAAAUUGAUAAGGUUCAGAAGACAAGUGCAGUAAAGGUCGAAAAGGUGUCAACUGCGGAAACUGUCAAGGUUGAGAAAACUGGGAGUGUUUCAAGGUCGGAAACUGUGAAGGUGGAAAAGAAGGAAACAAAUGGGGAUUCUGUCAUGGAUCGGGGGGAGGCUGUCAAGGUUGAAAAGAUAAUUGAGGAGGAACAAGCUCCUAGUGUAAGAAAACCAUCACAAGGUACGAUUGCAACCCCAAAACUGACCCAAUUGAUCAAAUGUAAUGACUCUUCGCGUGACAAAAUUCGGGAACUUCUUGCGAAUGCCUUGUCCAAAGUUGCCAGUGAGGCUGAUGAGGAAAUAAUUGAUGAAGUUAAUGCAUGUGACCCAAUUCGAGUUGCUGUUUCUGUGGAAUCUGUAAUGUUUGAAAAGUUAGGGCGCUCUACUGGUGCAGAGAAACUCAAGUAUCGAUCUAUUAUGUUCAACAUCCGUGACGAGAAAAACCCUGAUUUAAGAAAAAGGGUUCUUCUUGGAGAGGUCAAACCAGAGAGGCUUGUCACCAUGAGCCCAGAAGAAAUGGCAAGUGAUGAGAGACAACGCCAGAUUGAGAAUAUUAAAGAGAAGGCUUUGUUUGAGUGUCAACGUGGUGGUGAAGCGACUGCCACAACUGAUCAAUUUAAGUGCGCUAGAUGCGGACAACGUAAAUGCACUUAUUAUCAGAUGCAGACUAGGAGUGCAGAUGAACCUAUGACAACGUAUGUAACAUGCGUGAACUGCAGCAAGCGUUGGAAGUUCUGCUAAUCCAAUUCCGGUCUAUCUACAGUUCUGCAGAACCAGAUGCAGAGAAGGCAUUGAGUUGGAUUAUUUCAGAAUCUCCCUUCUCUUUUGUAACAAUUUAUCCAUAGAGUCAGUGGUUGCAAGGUCUAGAAAACUGUCCUUUAAUUUUUAUGUGUUUGGUUUAGGGAUAACUUAGCAUUUGUGAGGUGUUCUGAUUUAAAUCCCAUUUGAAAAUCUCAACAAAGUCGGAUCAUCUCAAUUUUUAGGACCCCCCUCGCCCAAGGGAGCUGAGCAGUUCUGUAUUGCCUCCGAUAGCUUCUUCUUUAUGUUAGGUUUUAGGACCUAAAUUAAUGUCUUGCUUAUCAAAUACAUAAAACUUUGUGUUAACCUCGGGCCUUGUGACCUUGUGGUGUGCGUAAUUUUUGUUGGCGACGAGGGUUGAGUCUGUGGUAGAAUUGGCUGCGGUAAGGGUAAUAUGGCAGUUAUGCGUACUCUUAAAUAAUUUUAAUAGAAAUACUCUGCUUACUAACUUCUUGAUGGUUAAUGUUGUUUCUGAGCAAUUUUUUGUUUACAUCAUUUGCUGUGUUACUCUGUUGGGUGGAAUUGGAUUGAUGAGUAACAUAAAACUAGGGUCCGGCUACAGUGCAACUGUGGUACUGUGCCACAGCUGCAAUUCAACUAUUGGAUGCACUUGCAUGGGUGGAGUCCACUGAAAUAUGCACUUGCAUGGGUGGAGUCCAUUGAAAUCCAACGACUGGAUGCAACCGUGAUACGGUACUACAAUUGCACCACAUGUUUUUCCUAAAAACUAAUGCAUGGUGAGAGUUUUUUAAAUAAAGCUAUCAUUAAAUUUAACAAAAGAGGAGCGCAAAGAAUUUGAAAGUUGAACCACUGAUGAAUUAUAAUGAGAUAUUGUCUUCCAAUGCUUUCAAUGCGGGGAGAAAAGGCAUUAAACAAGAACCAAAAAAAAAAAAAAAACCAUAAAACUCUGGAUCAGAAGAAAUCUAAGAAUGGAAAUAUUAUUUCCCUUUCAACAAUUUCUGAAGCAGUCGAGCAUGGACUCUCCAAAAUGUUUUCACCUUCUGAUUCCUCCUCAUUCGCCGCAUUCGGCUCCUGGAUAUUAGAAAAGAAAAAAGAAAGGAAAAAUCUCUUUUAGUCAAUUAGAAAACUCCAAAAAGAUAAUUCCAUUUUUUAAAAUAAUAAUAAUCAUAAUAAUGUACAUGAUUUGGAGAAAAUUUACUUGGGAGUUUGCUGCCCCAGUAGUUUUCUUUUCUUGUUCCUUCUCUCUCAGGGACCGUAUAGAUGACACCCUCUGAUUAUCAAACAAUCAAUACUCAUUAAAGGAAAAGGGUUAAAAAUGAAAAAAGAAAAAAGAAAGAAAAUUAAAGAAACUGGAUGAUAUAAUUAAUGAAAACAGAACUUACUAUACAAUAAGACUUGAGUUGAUUUAAUCUGUACAAUCUAUCAACUUCAAUCUCAAGCAUCUUUUGAAUCUCUCCUCUGUUUUGCAGCCCCUUCAUCUGCAUAUCCAAUAUCACCUCUCUCUCGUCCAGCAUCUUCUCCGUUCUCUCUUUCUCCAAUCUCAAUCUCUCAAGCUUCUUUCUAAUAGCGCUGAGCUCCUCCGCUAACGACGUAUCCAGAGAUUCAAUAUUCGUGACGGGUUUAUUCUCAGUCUCCUCCUUGAUGAGAUCUGCAGCUGCAGGGAUAUGAUUCUGAUUCUGAUUCUUGUCGAUGCAUUCUUGCUCUGGCUUUGGCUUUGGCUUUGGCUUUAGCUUGGUCGCUGUACUGGGUGUCACCGGAGAGUUUAUCGGCUUGAGAGGCGUCCGCCCUGAUCUGGGUCUGAGCUUUUCAUCUUUGGCGAUGGUUGUCAUUUUUCGAAGUUAUGGGUUUGUUCGAUGGAGAUGAGAAUAAUGUCAGAGGUGUUGCCAUAAGAAGUUUUUAAAUUUGGAUGGAGCCAAAGCCAAGUGCCAACGGCUACUUUUUCUUUCUUCUUUUCUUUUUUUUUUAAAAAGAAAAAGUCAGAAUUUUUGUUUUUAUUUAUUUAAUUUUAAAUAUAAGUCGGGGGUAAUUAUUUCAUAGGACUAUUAGAAAUUUAGGAUGUGUUCGGAAUUGAGGUUAAGCAGUUGUAGUUUUUAAACUAAAUAUAUUAUAUCACUUGUAUCAUGAAAAAUAUAUUAUAUAUUUAAUAAUUUUAUUAAAAUUAUUAUUUAAAAUUUAUAUUUAUUAUAAAUUAUUAACUUUUAUUUCAUAUUUAUAAUUUUUUUUUCACAACAAUUAUAGUUUAAAAGUUACAACAUUUCAUUUUCAAUCAGACCGUAAACAUAAGAUAUUGACACAUUAACAAUAGACUCCUCAAUUAUUUAACUUAAUUUUAGAAGUGGUGAAACAAUCCAAGUAUCCAACAAAGAACAGGCCGCAACUUUCGAUUAUUAUGCUAAUGGAAUCUUGUCUAAAAUCCGCCGCUUUAAGCGGCCAAUGGAAUCAUUAAUACUCAUUGUUUCAAAGGCACUCGCGUCACUUUAGUUUAAUGUCUAGCGAUAUUGGUAAUGUUUUCACCAUUGCAAACAGAUUUACAAGGACAAAUGUAGCUCGAAUCAACGUGGCCCAUUAGCUCAGUUGGUUAGAGCGUCGUGCUAAUAACGCGAAGGUCGCAGGUUCGAGACCUGCAUGGGCCAAAAUGCAAUUUUACAUGGUGGUUGGUGCCUAGUGGUUGGUUCCCGCACAUCUCCUCACUUCAUAUGUUCGAAUCACAUCCGUUUGAACAUAAUCACAUAAAGCGACGGCUACAAAAAUCAAAAGCAAAAGAUAAAGAAUAAAGACAUUGUACAAGCCUAUCAAGGUCUCAUCUUUUUGUAUAAUUUCUAUUGGGGGGGAAGAUGACAAAAAAAUCGAGGGGAAAGAAACAAAUAUCUACAAGUAAAACAAGGAGUUAAAAACAGAUAGGCAUUGGUAAUCAUGAAUAUCAUAAGUAAUCCAUUGGAAGCUCCCAAUCAUCCUCUGAGUCUCUCGCCUUCGGACGAGGCUUCUUCUUCCUAAAACCUUUCUUUGCGCUCCGACCAUGAUCAAAUCUACCUGACCUUUCAAAGUUGGAAUAUCCAUCAAAGUCAUCGAGUGAAGUUCCUACAUUCUGCUUGUCCCAUAGACCCUGGUACGAGCAUGUCAGAGGUUUAAUUAGAGGUAUGCAGAACAAGCAGGAAGAUCCAUAAGCUGGGAUGAAAAUUUAAUGCAAAAAGUUUUAGUUUCUCAAACAACAAAGCCAUUUGGGAAACUCUGAAACAGAGAUGGCAGUGGAUGUUUAACCAGUUGAAUGUGAAGGAUGCAUACAAUCCAAAAGAUAACAAGAGAAAUUAAAUGCAACCUGGUUCAUAAUCUUCCAAGCAGUCCCUUGAAUGAAAAAAUAUUUCUCAUCAACAGUACACAACUGUAAAUUGGUAAAAGAAUCUACGCUGAUAUAAUAUGCGUAUAAUUCAUGGUUCAUAGGUCUGUGGUUGUGGUGUCAAACUGAGUGCCUAUACACAUGCAUUCGCACAUUAGUGUGCCAAUGCAUCAUGCAUAUGCAUCCAGCUUCCUUCAAGCUUUACUUCAUUCCAGGCAUGGAAAUACAUUAACCCACAGAACUCAGUGCAGACACAGAGCAUCAGCAAAGUCUAAUUACACUUCAAAUUUGACUCAAAGCAUGACAACCACCUUCACCAUGAAUCAAAGGUACCUUUGUUAGUCUUUGAACACGUGAGGCUGCAGCUUCGUGAACAACUACUAUGUCAGCUACAACUUCUAGGACAUCCUCGACAAGCAAAGCAUAAGUACUCACCUGGAAUUAUGACAAGCGGAUUGCAGUUGAACUUUGUAUACAAGAACUCUUUUUAAGAAGAGGAUAAUAUCAAUCAAGUAUAAAUUGUAGAAGAUGGCUGAAAGUGAUCGUGUGAACAUUAUUUAUGUAGCAUUUGCUAUUAAAAACAGAGAGAAGCAGUUGACCUACCAAACUUGAUGGAAUAAUUGAAAUGCCAAAUGAAUCAAGCUCUAGUGAUUCAACAGCUCCCGAGUUGAUGUUGAAAGUGUAUCCCCGCACCUAGAAUUAAAAGAUGCAUAUGAUAAGACUUUUGACCUGAAUAUGAUCGAUACCAGGUAUGGUGCAUGAAAUUUUGAUUUACCUUCCCAAUGUUUUGCCGACCCGGUGUCACAACUCUGUAUCCUACCUAGCAAACAUCACAGGUUAAGUAUAACAAACAGACAGACAUAUUUAAUUAAUAAAAUAGAGCAAUGUAGUGAGUAUCAUAAGAUGAGGUGGCCUAGUACGCACAAAAAGACCAUCGUUGGUGGAGAUGGAAACAUACCAGUGUGUCAAGUCCAACCAUUUUAAAAUCAUUCUCCAUAACACUCUCAUCCUCAAUAAGCACAACAUCACCAACCUGUUAAUAAUUUACAAAUAGAACAAUAUGUUCAGAACAAAAAUGAGCUGAUGUAUGUGCAAAGAAAAUAAACAACAGGAAUAAACGGGUUAAAGCCCCGUUAUACUGUAUAUGGCAUAAUCCUCCCCAUUAAAAAAAAAAAAAUCAAUAGAUACACUGGCUGCCUGGCUGGGUAUCUUUGCGUAGUCAGAUGAACCUUGGACCACAAAAUGAACCAAGCAGAAAAUAUACCAUGAAACCAAAUGGCGGUUGUUCUUAUUAUUUAUGAAGCUAUUAAACGUUAACUAAAAAUCUGAAAGGAGUCAAAAAUUCAUUGAACCGAAAAAGGGGAAGGUAUUUAAGUGAAAAAUGAAAAUAGUAACAAGAACUGGGUUAACUCAUAACUCACCCUACUCUUCUGUGAUUCAAGAAACCGAGCCAUAAGCAUGACAAUAAAAUGGAUAAAUGUAAAUAAAAAUACGGACCCUCAAAUUAAAAGAAAAAAAUGUCAGCAGUGAAACAAUUGCCAAACUAAACCUUAUCCGUUCUCUAAAAUGAAUAAAGCUUCAAUCUUUGCUAACCAUAUCAUGCACUGGAAAGUAGACAACACAGAUAAAGAAGAAUACCUGGCAAAUAUCCUCAAGAAGAAGCCUCUCUGGUUCUCCAGAAAGCAAAUUUGGCCUCACUUCAACUACCAAUACCACCCACUGAAAAGAAAAAAGGAAAAAAAAAAAGCAUAGGAAUUUCACUAUAGCAAGUAAGUUCUUAACUUGUUAACAAUUAAACAAUGGACUAAUUACACUUACAGAGGUAGUAUCAACCCACAGUUGGGAAACGAAACCCAAAGACAUAGCAGAUUGAAUACUAAUAACUUGCUUUGCCAACAAAUUUGAUCUCCUCAUCACUUGCCCUCCUCUUCUCAACUUCACCUUUUCUGAUGAACCAUCACUGCCAUCCUUCUCUUCUUCACGCUUCUCUUCCUUCACUUCAGCAAUUUCUCUACUAUUUUCCUCUGCAGAAUUCACAGAAAACUUGUCCUUGAAACCCAAUUCAUCAAACAGCUCUUGAUUUUUACUGGGUGGCUUAAAAGUGCACAUAGCAUAUUGUAAGUUGCCAUUUCUCACACUUCCAUUCUUUGGUCUCCACUUGCUACCGGAUAAAGUUCUAAUUUUGGUUACAGGGACAGAAUUGUAUAGAGGAAUUGAGCUUAUGCAUUCACUCAUUCUGGAAACCCUAACUUCCAAUCCCAUGUUUCGUGCCACCCGAAAUUUGUCGAUUUCAGAAGAUUGAUGAUGAUGAGUGAAUCUUCGUUCAGAGAGAGAAAUAGGAAUUACGAAUAGGAUUUUAACCUAUCGAUCCCUAAUUUUGUAUUUUCUCAAAUAAUGACAAAAUAUUUACAUUUACUAUAAAAGAGGUCCCUAAACAAUUUUUGGAUCUGAAAGGAAAUAAAAAUAUCCUUGACCAAGUGGGCAAGUACUGCAUAGCAUAUUCCUUUCUUAUUUUAUUUGGACGGUGCUAUUUGAACUUAUUAUUUUACUCAUUGAAUAUAUUUUCUGAGUUCACCCAUCAUUCAAAUUUUAAAUCUAUAUAUUCACUCCAUUAAUCCAUCAUAAUUUUAAAAAUACCCAUUUUUCUUUCAGUGAAUCAAUUAUACUUUCACCCAUCAUCUUCCUUCUUUCUUCAUGAUUCAACGUUGUCUAUACAUAGAUUUAUUAAUGAACAGUUGGAAUCUAAAAAUAGAACAUAUUAAAUGAAAAAGAACUGCAACUUAAAAUCCAUUGCAAGAUUGUUGAAGUAACCUAAACUUCUAGUUUCAAAAACGAAGAAAAGUGUCAAAGACCGACAGGUACCAGAGUUUUUACGUACAAUGAUAUUUUUUUAUUACAUAAAACUAUUGUUUAAAAAUACAACUCAUAUUACAUGAAAUUAAAACUAAUAUUUACAAAUAAGACUAUUAUUGAGACUGGUUUACAUCAAUUCUCAUGAAAUACCGUCUAAAUUUUUAUCUUUUUUAAUAUUCAAGGGACCUCUAUAGAUUUUUACUCUAUUUAAUAUCCGAGGGACGUCUAUAGAUUUUUACCCUCGAAUUUUACCCUCUUUAAUAUUCGAGGGAUGUCUACAGAUUUUUAUUAUCUCUAAUAUUCAAGGAACGUUUACUUCACUCACAUUUCAAAAUAAUAUUCGAGAGACGUCUACUUCACUCACAUUUCGAAAGAGAGAAGACUGUCUUAACUUAAAUUGAGGAAAUAAAUUAAACCCCCACAAUGUAUUGUGGGGGGCUCGAACCCAUGACCUUAUGAUUGUGAGGUUUAUGUUUUAAUCACCAGGCUUCUUACGUACAAUGACAUUUAAAAUAAUAUAUGAAGGAUUUAAAAAGUUUUGUAUUCAAACUUUUAAGGUAGCUGAAUGGCACAAUUCAAAAGUGAUUAAUUUUUUUCUAAGUAUAUAAAUAUUUAGUUAUAAUAUAGCUUAAUGAGAUUGGAAUUAAAAUACAGGAUUAAAAAUUUAGUUAUUAAUUAUCAGAUGAAAAUAAUAUUAGAAAAAGAAGUUAAGAAGGAAUAACUAAAAUUAAAAAAACGUAUUGAGAUUGCAAGAUCUUCUUUUGGUAUUCAAAUCAUGAUCAUAAUACUUCUCAUAUUUAUAUUUUACUUUUUUUUUAUCAGUUUGAAAAUUAUAUGACUUGUUUUUCAAUUAAUUACUCUAUAAAUAAAUAUAGGGUUAAAUACAUAAUGUGCCACAACCAUAUUAGAAUGCUCCCGCUACAGUAUUGAUGUGUUGAUAUUAAGUAUGUAGAAUUAUAGAUCCAAGAAAAAUCCAGAUUUAUAAAUAAACAUAGAAUGAAAAUAACCCAUGGGAAUACAACUUAUAAAUAUAUAAUUAAAAACAAUAAAUUUAAAACUUGCUUGAGAGAGUCAUUAAUUCCACAAUUAAAAUCUUUAGGCUAUGUUUGGGAGUUAGGAUUAUAUGUAGGAUUAGAUUAAUUAUUUGUCUUAUAUUUGGCAAGCUCCACUUUGGAUUAGAUUAUGGGAAUAAAUGUGAAUUUAGUCCUAAGAUCAUGGGAUUAACAAUCUCAAUUGAAACAUGGGUUUAGUUAGAAUUAACUUUAAAAACAAUUGUCUAUUUAAUUAAUUAUUACUUGAAUAUCUAAUGUAGUAUUUAAUUUAAUAAUCAUUAUAUUAAAAUUAAUCAUGAAAAUUAAUAAUGCCAAUAAUUGGUUGCUUUUAUAUUAUUUGCCGACUUUUUGAUGAAACAAAAUAUAUUUAAAAUAUUUAAUAAAAAUUAAAUUAAAUAUUUAAAUAAAAUUUAAUUUAAUUUAUAUUUGUUUAUUAUAAUUGUGAUUGCCUAAUAACUAAUUUUCUAAAUAUUUAGUUUAAUUAAUUUCUUUGAAAAUAAUAUUAAUAAUUAUUUUAUUACUAAAUAUUCAUAAAUAGUUCAUAUUUAUAUUUAAAUGUCAAGUUAAAUGCUAUUUAAUUUCAUUCAAAUGUAAUUUGAUAUAAUCCAAUCCAACAUUGUACGAAACAUAAGACAAUAUUAUAUAAUCUAAUUCAAUCCAAUCAUAAUAAUUCGUUCAAUCUAAUCCUAUGUGCGAAACAUAACCUUAAGUUUCAUCAUUCACCUUAACUUGAAAAAUUAGUCAUUCAUGUUGGCUAGCAAAACACACAUUUUAAAAUAAAUUUAUGAAAAAGUAGGAGUGGUGAUUUAUGAUUGGGUUUUAAAAUAAAUUUAAUUAGUAAUUUGGUGGAUUCAAAUAGCUUUACACUUAAUUUUAAUAUUUAUUAUUUUUAGUUCCGAUAUUACCCUUACAAUUUAGGGUGAAGAUAAUUUUGUCCCUGAUUAAUAUCCGCACGGACCGCACCGGCCACAUCCCAUAUAUGAGACGCCCAAUUCGUGUCCCAGCCUUUUGUACUGAACUCACAAUUUUCUCAAUAUCUCGACUUGCCCUAAUUUUGUCCGCCACCGCGGCAUACACGACUGAUCAUCGACGGACGCGCGCUAUCCACCGCCGAUUGCCGAUCGAAAUAUUUACUUGUUUGACUGUGUAAGUCUUAUGUUGUUGGAGAAACAUCUUUCUUAGAAACUUGUAGCUCGGUGAUUUUUGUGUGCAAGAUCUGAUUUUUAUUGCUUGAACUAGGGUGUAUGCUAUGGCUUUAUGUAAAGUUUAUUUUAUUUUAUUUUUAAUAUGGCAAUAAUUCCUUCUUCGAUCUCGCUCGAUGCUUUAUGUCGGUGCAAUAUGUUUUUUGAGAAAAAAAAAAUUAGGGUUUUGAGUUUCUUAAUUUUUACAUAUUCAUCGUUAUGCGACUUUGCUUCUGUGGUCUUUGAUAUGAAAUUUUAUUGCCAUGUUCCAGAAUGUUAUCGAAGGUUCCUUACAAUUGUUUUUGUAAUACAAUACAAUAUUACUUUAAUACCUCUGACGUUUAAUGUUCAAAUUCUUGUAGCACAGGCUUAUUAUUGCUUGAAUUAAUUAUCUUAUUAGCUGUAUAGAUAGUUUUACUGGCAUCCGUUUAUUGAUUCUGUGCUUGUGUUGGGUUUCGCUGGCAGGUGUGGACUACAGAAGCUAUAUUUUGGUGGUGUUUGGAUAGUUUAUACACAUGUCACUGAAGGAGAUUCUGCCUCCUGUGAAAUCCAACCACGCCUCAUUUUAUGACCAUUCAAAUGAUAUGUGGUUUAAGAAUCUGUAUAAUUCAUCCGAGAAGGAAAAAUCUCUUGAGGCCAAGCGAAAACCUGUACCUCCUUACUUGAAGCGACAAGGUUUUGUUCCUAGAAAAAUUGAGGAUUUUGGUGAUGGGGGUGCUUUUCCAGAAAUUCAUAUUGGGCAGUACCCGCUUGACAUGGGUAGAAAUAAAUCUGGCAAGCCUGGAUCAAAGAUUUUGCCAGUGAGUGUUGAUGCCCAUGGGAAUGUGGCUUAUGAUGCAAUUGUAAAGCAAAAUGAGAAUUCCAAGAAGAUAGUUUACUCGCAACAUAAAGAUCUUAUUCCAAAGUUUUUGAGGGAUGAUGAAGAGGAAGAAGAAACCGAUGAAGAGAUGCAGAGGGAGAUUGAUGAAACUACUCAGGAAACAAAAGCUUGUCUUGAAAAGGUUGUUAAUGUGAAAUUGAGUGCGGCGCAGCCCAAGAAUGUACCUCAACAGUCAUCAGAUUCAAAGUAUAUCAAGUAUAAGCCAUCUCAGCAAUCAGUAGCUUUUAAUUCUGGUGCUAAGGAGAGGGUUAUUAGAAUGAUGGAGAUGCCUGUGGACCCACUUGAGCCACCAAAGUUCAAGCACAAGCGCGUUCCGAGGGCUUCUGGUUCUCCACCUGUUCCAGUCAUGCAUUCCCCACCUAGGCCUGUGACUGUGAAAGAUCAGCAGGAUUGGAAAAUUCCACCUUGUAUAUCGAAUUGGAAAAACCCGAAGGGUUACACAAUUCCCCUAGACAAGCGUCUUGCAGCAGAUGGCAGAGGCCUUCAAGAUGUUCAGAUUAAUGACAACUUUGCUAAGCUGUCGGAGGCUCUUUAUGUUGCCGAGCAGAAGGCUAGGGAAGCUGUUGCAAUGAGAUCAAAGGUGCAGAAGGAGAUGCUCAUGAAGGAGAAGGAACGGAAAGAGCAGGAACUGCGUGCAUUAGCUCAGAAAGCUCGUUCAGAGAGAACUGGAGCAGCACCCCCAGCAUCUGUUCCAAUCCCAUCUGAGAAGAGUGCAAUGGAUACUAGCGAUAUGAGAGAGGAGUAUGAGCAUGAGAGAGAUAGAGGGAGAGAGAGGGAUAUGCCGAAGGAGACAAGGGAGGAGAGGGAAGAGAGGUUGCAGAGGGAGAAACUACGUGCGGAGAGACGUCGGGAGAGGGAAAGGGAGAGAAGGUUGGAGGCCAAGGAUGCUGCUAUGGGAAAGAAGAGUAAGAUUACUAGAGACAGAGAUCGUGAUAUUAGUGAGAAAUUUGCUCUUGGCAUGGCCUCGACUGGGGCGGCAAGAGGAGGUGAGGUUAUGUAUGAUCAAAGGCUGUUCAACCAGGAGAAAGGAAUGGAUUCUGGUUUUGCCACUGAUGACCAGUACAAUGUGUAUGACAAGGGCCUGUUUACUGCUCAGCCCACACUUUCAACCCUAUAUAGGCCCAAGAAAGAUGCAGAUGAUGACAUGUAUGGAGGAAAUGCAGAUGAACAGAUGGAGAAGAUCAUGAAGACUGAUCGGUUCAAACCUGACAAGGGAUUUGCUGGUAGUUCUGAGAGGUCUGGUCCUAGAGACAGACCAGUCGAGUUUGAGAAGGAGGCUGAAGAAGCUGAUCCAUUUGGACUUGAUGAGUUCUUGACAGAGGUGAAGAAAGGGGGGAAGAAAGCAUUGGACAAAGUUGGUACUGGAGGGACAAUGAGAGCGAGUGCCGGAUCUUCAAUGCGAGAUGAUUAUGGAGGUUCUGGUAGAUCUCGCAUAGGAUUUGAAAGGGGCCGUUAAACAUUUUCUCUAAGAAGUAUUGUUUUUUCUUUUCCUUUAUGUAAGAUGCUUGAAUUUUCCUUUUUAAGUUAAAAAGAAGGCUUACUUUUUUGUUUCUAGUGCUUAGAUUGACGUUAAGAGUUUCCUAUGGUACUCUUGUACCAUCAUUUCUGAGCUUAUGAUUGGAUUUCAGCAGAAUUAUUAUCACUUCCCAAUUUGUGUUUUUGGUGAUAAUUAAUGAAAAAACAGAUAUCUCCAGUUGACAUUUGUUUUCCAUAAUUGAUAUGAGUAGUGUUACACAUCUCAAAUAUAUGAUAAUUAGAUAAUUAGAUGUGGUUUGGUGAAUUUUCUAUGGCGUCACACAUAAUCUGGAUUAUACCUGACAGGAUUUGAGUUUAUAAAGGCUGUUCUGAGUUUUGAAGCUUUCAGCUUGCAAGCGAGUGUGGAUGUUUUCAACUCCAAUGACCUUGUAAGCAUACCGUUUCCUUGAUAACAAUGAUCGUCUAUGUAAUGCCCCUUCUACAUCACAGAAACCAAAAUGUCGCAAGAUAAAAAAGUUGGAGCGGAUGCGUACUUGGACUGUAUGCCCACUUUUCUUUAAGGCACUAGGAGGAUUAGAUCAGAUCAAACUCAUCAAAGAGUUGCGUGUACGAGAUGUGAUCCACUAAAGGCAUCCACGCCCAGUCCGGAACGCAUAUUCGAAGACCAAGUUGGUUCAACGCUCCAACAGCACCACAACCACUAAUAAAACGCCACGUGGGAGGGUCGGAAACAAAGAAAAACUGUUCACGCUGGGCAUGUAUGUUACGUGGCUGCGCGAGUUAUUCGAUUAUUCAAUUUAAAAGUCCGACUCUCAGCGUUUCUCUUCCGCUGCGUCCUUCCCUCUCCCAGCCCAGGUGAUUGCUUUCUUGCCGUCUUCUUUUUAACUUUCAUUUCCUUUUACGCCGUCGAUUAUGCUACGUUACGUUACCUUGCCUUCCCUUGUUUGUUUACUAAGGAAAUCGUAAGAGAAAAGAAAGAAAAAUAAAUCGUGAUAGAAUCAUUAAUUAGAACAUUCUUCACGUUUUUCUUUGCAAAGAAAACUAAAGAAAGCUAAUGAUUUUGUGGGAAAGUCCGUACUUUUAUCUUGUUUUUGAUAUAUUUGGAUUUAGAACUUAAGUUUACGUGAUUGUGCUUGGGGGUUCUUUCAAUUUGACGGUAAUUCAGUUUCUAAUUUUGCUAGGAUUUCAACCGGAUUUGCUUUUGAAUUGUGUGAUUGUUGGUUUAUUUUAAUUAUCUGCCUUUUGGAUGCAAUUGUGGGAAUUUUGUUUUGAGUACUGAUUUUAUGCUUGUGUUUUUGACAUUAAAUUGCAGACUUGACAGUGUGAUCUUCAUGAAUUUGAAAGAUAUUGGAGCAUCAGCUGUUUCCUGCUACUCGGGAAACAAGAACCACUUCUUCUCCUGGAUUUUGUUUUGCUUAUUGCCAAAGUUUCUAGGGACUCCUAUUGCUUACGUGCCCUUCUUUUUGAUUAAGGUUGUCGAUAGGAGUCCUUCAUCUGCUUUUGUUUUGGAUAAUUCCGGGGAAACUUAGCCCAGGUGGUGAUUCAUCACAUCAUCUGUAGCACUUUCAAUAAGGUUUGACAAACAUGGUUUCAUCCCAGUUACCUGGUUUGACCAAAACCUGCAUGCAUAAACCACUUCAGACCCAGCUGUUUUUUCCUGUGAGUCCCCCAGAUGAUGUUGUGUCUGAUUCGCUUGAGUUAGAUUUCUCCGAUGUAUUUGGUCCUGUUCCAGUUCAGGAUUCGCCAGAAGUGAGUUAUGGUGAUUUAGUGAAUGCUGUAUCUGCUGCAGCAGAUGCAAGUGAGAUAAUUUAUGAAGAUCCAGUUAUCAUAUGUAACCGAUCACAUUCUCUAGUUGGUCCCUCUUCCUGUGUUAGUGAAUCAUCGAAGCUGACCAAGCUCAUUCUGCGUGAAUCAGAGGAUGCGGAGGAACUACUUGAGUGUGUUGAUGGAUUGACCGUCAAAGAAAUUGAUGAAUCCUCCAUUGAUGAAAAUGUCAAAGGAGAUUCUGUGACCGUCUGCUGUGUAGGGAUUGAGGAUUUUGAGGUUUUGAAAGUUGUUGGGCAGGGUGCAUUUGGAAGGGUAUAUCAAGUGAGGAAAAAGAAUACAUCCGAAAUAUAUGCAAUGAAGGUCAUGCGGAAGGACAAGAUAGUGGAGAAGAAUCAUGCAGAAUACAUGAAAGCUGAGAGGGAUAUUUUGACAAAAAUAGAUCACCCCUUUGUUGUCCAGCUCAAAUACUCAUUCCAAGUAAUUUUCAUGAAAAGCUCGUUCAUAUUUUAACAUGACUUACUUGGAAAAAUAGAUCACAGUUCAAACAUCUUACAUGACUAACAUAGAGUUGUUUCUUGGCACACAGACCAAAUAUCGAUUAUACCUAGUUCUUGACUUCAUAAAUGGUGGCCACCUUUUUUUCCAGCUCUAUCACCAUGGCCUAUUUAGGUAAUGUUUGUCUUUGUCAUUGGGGAAACUUUUAUAAUUUUCCAGGCAUAAGCGUGAUUAAUGUUUAUGAUUUUGUUUCAGAGAGGACCUGGCACGAAUAUAUGCUGCCGAGAUUGUUUCUGCUGUCUCCCACCUUCAUGCUAAUGGCAUAAUGCACAGGGAUCUUAAACCUGAAAAUAUUCUUUUGGGUGCAGAUGGGCAUGUACUCUCUUUCUCCCUAUUUAUCUAUCUAUUCCACAAUAUGCUCGCAAACACACAAGAUAUAAAACAAGGAACUCUUUAACUUUUCUUGAUGUUUAAUUUUCAUGGAAUUCUAACAUUUCAUUGAAAUAUUUUUUAGGUAAUGCUGACUGAUUUUGGCCUUGCAAAGCAAUUUGAUGAGAAUACCAGAUCAAACUCGAUGAUUGGGACUGUUGAAUAUAUGGCGCCUGAAAUUGUCCUUGGGAAGGGCCACAAUAAGGCUGCAGACUGGUGGAGUGUGGGAAUUCUACUAUAUGAGAUGCUCACUGGGAAGGUUGGCAUUGUUCAGUCAUUUAUUCAGGAGAUUUAGGUUGUUUCUCUUUUGGAAUUUGCACUAAUUGUUAGACUGUUGUGCAGCCUCCUUUUAUUGGUGGGAACAGGGCAAAGAUCCAGCAAAAGAUUGUCAAGGAUAAAUUGAGGCUGCCAGCAUUUUUGUCAAGUGAAGCACAUUCUCUUUUGAAAGGGGUAAAUGUUUGAAUCCUUAACUUAAGCUUUUAUUUUUCUACCUGCUGUCUCCAAAAAACUUCCUCAAACUUUAUGUCCAAGGAUGUACAGAUGAGAAGCUAAUAGUUUUGUUGUAAAUGCUGAUUGGUGAUGAUUUUAGAAGAUCUGGGUUUUUAGUUGUUUCUCUUGUAUUUGAAAGGGUUUGCACCCUGCUUUUUGGAGCUAUCAUUAACCUAAGAAUAUCUGCUUGCUGUUUCAGCUUCUACAAAAGGAACCUGGCAAGCGUCUCGGUGCUGGACCUAAAGGAAGCGAAGAAAUUAAGAGUCACAAGUGGUUCAAGCCCAUCAACUGGAAGAAGUUGGAGGCAAGAGAAAUUCAGCCCGGUUUUUGUCCAGAAGUGGCUGGAAAGCACUGCAUUGCCAACUUUGAAAAGAAAUGGACUGAUAUGCCGCUGUCGGACUCUCCAGCUGCCACCCCAAAGAAUAAUACGAACCCAUUUGCCGACUUUUCUUAUGUGAGGCCAGCAGCCUCUUUACUUCAGAGUAAUAGCCCAUUGUGCUAGCGUGCGUUGAUCUGAAUGCAUUCUUUGAAGGAUCACCACUUUCGUUCUCUAAUAGAUAGUGUGAACUUUCAUUGCGGUGGUUUAAAACUGAAAGCUGCUUGCUAUUGGUACAUAUGGUCUAUGUUAUGUGGGAUGCCUUUGUGUUCAUAGUAUUGCCGCUAGACAAGCUUUUCUGUUGUACUACGUUGUGUUCAAACUUCAAAGGUUUGUUCUGCAGAUGUCCGAGGUGUCUAUCCUCCGCAAUUAAAUCGUAUAAUCUUUAUUUUCUAUCCAGCAGAUAUGGUGCUUUCUGUAAUCUUAAUUACAAUUGCAAUUAAUCAAAUGAACAGUAAUUAUUGAGGCAUUUUGGUAACUGCGAAGCCUCUAAUGACGAAGGCCAUUGUUGUCAUUUUAAAUGCGAAGGAUACCCCGCUCAUUGGAAACCUGGACACGAUAGAGGCUGUCCUCUGACCACAUAUGCUUUAUUCAAUGGAUAAAGUUAAGCAUGACACCUGGCAGGCGACCAUCCUCUGCUGACGCUUCAAGUAUCAAGCUAAACAAUUUCAGCUCUACUUUGUAGUGCCAUAGCACCAGCAGUAUGGCUUCUCUGUUGUCUCCAAAUACAAUUACACUUCACCAGAAACCAAAAAUAAUUUGCUUUUCUCCAUUAAAGCCAACUUCCCGGAGCAGCAUUUGUCCUUCAUCAAAAUCAAAUCGUUCAAGUAAUUCAGGUCGGUGCAAUGCGUUUCUGGACAACAUCCCAGAUGAUCUUUUGGACCAAUCAUUGUUUCAAUCGCCCAUUUUUCAAUCCACUUUUGGGCAAUUUCAGAGAGCUACUGAAGAUUUAUCUGAUAUGCAGAGGUGGGGGCUUCUGGUUUUUGGUGGGUUAACUUGGAUAUACUUGACAGCAAGGCCAGGUGUUCUUAUAGGUGCCAUUGAUGCAUACCUUUUCGCUCCUUUGCAAUUGGUUUUUGACAGCUUGAUUGGAAGAAGAAACCUGAAGAGGACUGAUUUUGUGAUAGGAGAUAAACUGGGAGAAGGGUCUUUUGGUGUUGUUUAUUCUGGAGCCAUUGUACCAAAGAAUGCGGUUGUUGAAGACCGAGGACUGAAAAGAGGAAGAGGAAACGGAAAAUCAUUAGAGUUGGAUGGCAGGUUCAAGGAAAAGGUCAUUCUUAAGAAGGUAUUUACAUAGUUCUAUGAUUGAUCACAAAUAAUUUUGGCUUGUGUCUAUGAAUUCCUUCUCGAUUGGGGUUGUGGGAACCUAAUAUACUUUUUGAUAAUGUUAAGCUCUUGCCUAUGGGAACACGCAGGUGAAAAUUGGAGUCCAGGGGGCGGAAGAAUUUGGUGAUUAUGAGGAAUGGUUUAAUUACAGGCUAUCAAGAGCUGCUCCUGAAACAUGUGCGGAGUUCCUUGGAAGUUUUGUUGCUGAUAAAACAAACUCACUGUUUACUAAAGGUGGCAAGUGGCUCGUCUGGAAAUUUGAGGUACUCAUGCAAAUUUAGUAAGCAUUUCCAAUGCCAUUUUGAAAAUAUUUUCUAGCUGCUAUUUGCAUCAUGACCAGCUCAACUAUAUUAAUGUGCAUGGAGGAUAUUCAUAUUUGAGUUUGUGGCUUUUUCUAUCCUGAUAGAUUUUUACUUCCUUGAUUAAGUGAACUUUGUUCCUACAUGCUUGCAUAUAAGUUCAGAGGUCUGAAUUUAUGUUCCCUCCACUAAUUGUAGGGAUGUGCAUGUACAGGGAAAUCAAACUCUUGCUGAUUACAUGAAAGAUCGCACCUUCCCUUUUAACUUAGAGACUUACAUGUUUGGGCGUGUCUUAGAAGGUGAAGAUUCUACAAAACGGAGUGCAUUAAUCAUCAAGCAAAUACUACGCCAGAUUAUUACUUCGCUUAAGAAAAUCCAUGACACGGGCAUUGUUCACCGGGAUGUAAAGCCAGCCAACUUAGUGCUGACAAAGAGGGGCCAGAUCAAGCUCAUAGAUUUUGGAGCAGCAACAGAUCUUCGGAUUGGUAAAAAUUAUGUACCCAACCGUACACUGCUUGAUCCUGAUUAUUGUCCUCCGGAAUUAUAUGUACUUCCGGAAGAAACACCAAGUCCUCCUCCAGAGCCCAUUGCUGCUUUACUCUCUCCAAUUCUGUGGCAGGUAUCUAAUAACUGCACAUUGAAUAAUGAUUGAAUUUGUCCAAUCUCAACCUUCUUUGUGUGUUUUGAAUAAUCCCAUUAAAUCCUGUUUAUAUUCAGAUGAUGACUUAACUUAGCUCACUUUCAGUCUGCAAGCAAACCAUCUAAGUGACAAAAUGCGUUUUCGUUUACAAACCACUGUACAUUCUGUAUGUGUGUUGAUGCACUAAAUUGAGUUUGUAAUGAUUGUUGCAGCUGAACAGCCCUGAUCUGUUUGACAUGUACUCUGCUGGGAUUGUACUCUUGCAAAUGGCCAUACCAACCUUAAGGUCUAUUUCAGGCUUAAAGAAUUUCAAUAUGGAAAUAAAGACAGCUCAAUACGACUUGAAUAAAUGGAGAGAGUACACUCGAUUGAGGUCAGACUUCACCAUUCUUGAUCUUGACUCGGGUAGAGGUUGGGAUCUAGCGACAAAGCUUAUUUCAGAGCGAGGCUUCCUUAGAAGGGGACGUCUAUCAGCUGCUGCUGCUUUGAGGCAUCCUUAUUUCUUGUUGGGCGGUGACCAGGCAGCCGCAGUUCUUUCAAGACUAAGCUUAACCAAGUAGUGGAAUCUUGGCCGAUGUGAGUAUGUGGUUCUAACAAAUCUGCUUUGCAUUUUUCAGUGUUUUAUAGCUUAAUUUGCUAGAUUUCAAAGGACGCAUUUUCAAUAUGAUGAACAUGUUUUUUGAUAGGUUUCAGGACAUAUUCUCAAAACAACAUGUUCAUCAUAUGCAGAAUGAGAAUAGCUACAUAUUUGGUAAUAUGAAGGGGAUGCUCAAAAAAGAAAGUUCUGAGGGGUCAAUUGCAUUGGUGGGUAUUUUUUGUUGUUUUCUUCAGUGACCUUUUCUUCUGUCAAUCCUCAUCAGUUAAGCUGAGUGAAUAUACUGCUCAGACGCUUGAAAUUAUCAGAUUAUACUGCUCAAACGCUUCAAAUUAUCAGAUAAAACAGUUGUUUAUGUAUUUUUUUACACUCGGGACAGAAUGAAGAAAGAAGUCGCUGAUAUUGCUACUUCAGUAGAUGAUCUAGGUAUGCAUCCACCUAUUUCUGCAGAAAUACUUUCAUUCUGUAGGCACAUUUGGUGCCAAUACACGAGGUGACAUCCAAUAUUUUUUCAGGAACUGAAUAUAUCAAAGUUCACUCUUUUUUCCCCUGUGAUUAAAAUUUUCAUUUAAUUUUCUCCUCUCUAAACCAUGUAAACUUGCUAUGUGUUUCAGUUAGCACCACCAGUCCCUAAGCCAUUUCAGUGACAGGGCUAUGAUAAAACUGAAGUUGCGUACACAAGAUUACAGUCAAACAUUCCAAUUCUGAUUCGCAUAUCUGUGUUUCUGAGAUUUCUUUGAUUAGCAUCAGCAAUCAGGGAUCUAAUAUAUUGAAAUUAUUGUUCGAUAAUGUAUCCUUCGUAUGCUUUUCCAUCUUUUACAGAAACUCGUACUAUUAUCUCUUAAAUUUAUUGCUUAAUUAUGUUACAAGUUCUACAAGACAUGAUCCCAACAAUUUUCCUAAUUCUAUAUUAAUCAUUGGCUGAAAAAUUCUUGAAUGUGCAUGCAUGUAACAGUUUUGGUGUGGACGCAUCUCUGUUUCCCUGUCAUUAGUCUACCAAACAAAGAACCUGUGAACUGUGUCAUGUGUUGCAAGCAAAUCAAAUGGUUUAGAAAACUGCAAAAAGGAGGUGAAUAAAAGUAAAGAGUCUCUAUAUUGUACAUACUUAUGAUGAACAUCUUAGAAACAACUAUAAUUACAGCAAGUAUACCAAAAGUGGCAAUCCCUUGCCCCAAAAGUGCGCAGCAAAUGGAUGGAAAAGUUGCAAAUCCCUGAUGGUUUUAUUCUCAUUAAGGUUACAUAGAAAAAUGCAUGGUCUUCUUCAAUAAUAUUUGCAGCACAAUAUCUGAAAAAAAUGAACCACAUAUUACAACACAAUUCGAUGUACUUGCAAAAUAUGUUGCCAGUGUGCAUACAGUGACGAGGGUGAACCAUAAAGCUUCCCUUUUCGGAAGCUUUCUUACAGCCACAGGACAUAAAGACAAAAGUUAAUGAAUUUAUCAGCUGAAUAGUUCGUUAGCUUGCUGGCAGCAGGCAUGGCUAGUGAUAUAGACGAUCUUAAUUCUUCAAUGCCUGAUGAUAAUAGAGACUAAUGUUCAUUUGCAUAUUAUUGAUGCUAACGACUAUCUUUGACUAAGAGGAUACUGCCAACAAACAAAAACUAAGUGGGUAAUAAAGCCCAAUCAAGUGUUAACAAACAUUAACAAGAAGGCAGAUCACUAAUUCAGCGUAUUAUAGAAACACUGCCCGGGUUUUACAGAUUGAUCCUUUGACAAAUCCAGUCUACCAUGAAGAUUAAAUCUGCACAUCUUGACAAACAUCUUAGAAACAGCUACAAUUGCAGCAACUGCACCGAAGAUGGCAGUUACUUGCUCUGCGAGUGUGCUGUAGCCAAUAUAGGAAAAACCGGAUAGACCUGAUUGUUUUGGCCCCCAUAAGAUUACAGCAGAGAGUGAGUAGUCUCCUCCAAUACCAAAACCAAGCCAAAAUUUGAAGAAGAUGGACCAUAUCAGCACACAAUUCCUGAUGUAUUUAUGCAAUAAGUAUGUCAGUAAUGCGCACCCAGUGAGAAGAGUGAUACCAUAAAGCUUUUUUCCUAGUUCUUGUAAGAGCCACCCAAGGUAAAGCCAUAAACGAGUUGACUCUGUCAUUAGUAGCUGAAAACAUGGUGUUCUUCCUAGCCGUGGCAUGGCUUUUAACUAUUCAAUGGAAGAAAGAAUAAUGAUCACAAUGGCUAUUAUAAAAAGUUUGGUGGUUGCUGCAUGACAACCUAAAUAUUGUAGUUGUUAAUGGUUAAAUUUGACAAAGAGCUUACCACCAAAUAAUACGGCCAGGGAAUGAACUUAGUGAUUAGUGAUGAACGGACAAACCAAGAAGAAAAUUUUGGCUUGCUAUUUGCAUUCAUAAGAAACCAAAAAAGAGGAAUGGAACUUAAGAAUCUUCACAACAUUUACUGAACAGAGUUCUACUCUUGUUCUAUUCCACACAUCAAACAGUUAAUUAAUUGGAUUCUAUCAAGUCCACUACAAUGAGAUGGCAUCCUGCCAAUGAUGGGGUAUCUAGUACUCAAAAGAAAAUCUGACUAAUUAUUACAAUAGCCGAAACUGAAUUAUUGAAACCACACAGGUAAUCUAGAAGUCUGUAACCGUGCAGCUGCCAGAUAAAAUGCUAUGGAGUUCCUUUAGAGGUGGUCUUCUUCUGAUGGUUACUCCAAAGCUUCAGAAGUAACCUCCCUCCGACACCCAAGCCAGAUGCUGAAGAAGAGCAACAGUACUAUCACACAGUCAAAACUAUAAUUGUACGAUAUUUUUGUUUCUGUCGCACACCAAGUGACAAGAGCAACCCAUAAAGCCUCCUGUUUCCAAGCCACUGUAAGCCAAGCAAGGAAGAAAGAACAAUGGUUUUGGGACUCGAUGAAUUUCAUGGCAGUGUUGGGUUUAGUGGUCACGGUUCGGAAUGUCUGUUUAUAUUGAAAAUGGGAGAGUUGGUUUCAUGUCUGAAGUUUAGGGCUGAUAAGGAUUUUCAAAUCAGACGUUCUGAUAAAAAGGCUUGGUAUUUGUUUGUGCUUGAGAGAUGGCUGUUGAUCUGAUCAUAGACUGUUAACAUUAGAUCAAAAAUAGGGAGUCAAUGUGAAAACUUCAUUCUUUCACAAUUCAUUGCACGAAGGAAAUGAGGGUCAUAGUUUAUGCAUUGCAAUGGUGACAUAAGUUCAUAGAAGCUGCUCCACAGACAAACAUUUAGCCAUCGACUUUGAUUAGUAUGUUACAAAAACUUAAGUACAAGCUACCAGUUACUAUGUUUAUUCUACUCAGGACCACCAAAAUCUAUGGUAGGAGAAAAUAGAGCUUGGCUGAAGAGGUUUCUGGAUUUGUAGCUAAACACUCAAAACCUUGACCCACAAGCAGUUAUAAACAUCUAUGAAAACAAUCCAUGAGUGCUUUAUCAUCAAAACAUGUCAAGAAUAUUCUUCUUUACUGACAGAGUUUCACUAGAGAUCUUGAGAGAAAACUCUCAAAAGAAUUGAACUUGACAAGUCAAACAUCAAUAAUUUUUGGCAAAGAUCUUUUGUGGAAGCACUUUCCUUGCAUCUGAUGAUCAUCCUUUUCAAAACUUUACUGUUCUUCAACAAGUACUUGACUGGCUUCAGUUCAUCUUCCUUUUCUUCAUAUCCCUGAACUUCAAUUUGCUUGACAUGUAACCGUAAACAACGUGGCACACGCUGCGGUUUAUUCCACCCAAUAUGUCAAACCCUACUCUGAUUACUAAGAAAACAAACAUCAGAAAACAAUUAAGUACCAUUUCUUUCAAAAGUUCAUCUCAUCCUCAUCUUCUCCAAAACAAAAGCUUUUAGUUUAGGCAUACUACUGAGGAUGAUGGAAAGAAAUCACCAUCCAGAUUCUCCAACCACCAGUUCCAAUAAAUUCAAAUUGGAAAAUGUAGUGUUAAAACUAAAAAAAGAGGGUUUUCUUGUUAUGUUUAAAAUGGGGCAUUCUUUUUUUAAAUUUAAUUCCGGCAAUUCCCCUCAAUUUGCUAGCAACUUGGCACCACACAAGACACAAGAAGGGGGGUUAAAAAAAGAAAAAAGACUGAAAUUAAAAGAGAGAACGAAAACUGGUUUAAAUAUAUAUAUAUAUAUAUCAUUACAAAGUCUUAACUUCACCAAUGUUUUGCUAGUUAAAAUACUUGGAGGCAAACGUAGAGAUGCUCUAAGUCUACUAUGUUUACUUCUGAUAUGGACAGAAAGAGUAAAACGGCGAACAGCCUCCUGAAGACAAAAACAUAUAAUACUAAAAUUGUGAAUAGCUUUGGAUGGGCAAAGAAUAAGUAAACAGUCGACAAAGUUCAGGAAGCGAGUCCCGGAAAUUUCAUUGCCCCUGCAUAUUUCUUUAUCAUCAAAGCCAAGAUUGUAGAUUGAAGCUGUAACACCCUAGGCGAAUCCCACAUCGGCAAAGCACGGGAGAGAUGCUGGGUUUAUAAGGGGUGAUCCACACCUUAAUUGGCAAGACGCGUUUUGGGGUGUAUGAGCGCCCCAAGAACAAAUCCGUGCAGGCUUUGUUAAGGCCCAAAGCGGACAAUAUCUUGCCAGGUCUGGGUUGGGUCAUGACAGAAGCCCAAAGAUAGUUCCAUCCAGAGCAUAAGAAGAUGGUGAGAGGAUUUGACAUAGAACAUCAUCAGGUAAUCUACUGAUUACAUUUGAUUAUUCUUUACUGAUGAUAUCAUAAACUGCAAUGUUUUUUGAGACAACAAAAGCUAUCAAAAAACACGUGCUUGCCAAAAAGAGGGAGAGAACCAAGCACAAUGUUAUCAUAAAAUAAAGAAGAGAAGUUAAAUAAACAAAUAAUAAGAACCUGAUCAGAAUAAUGGAGCUACCUCUGAGACACGGAGGUCUCUAUUCUUUUUUCUUUUUUUUCAUUCUUUCAAUAGGUCGAUCCAAAUUAUGUAUGAGUAUUUUCUUUUUUUUUUAAAAUUUUUCAAAUCAUAUAUGUGAACUAUAUAAUAGGUAAUUUAAAAAUUAAGUAAUUAUUUAAUAUAAUCACUCAUCUACCAAUGAAUGACCUGCCGCCAUGUUAUCCAAAUUCGAAAUGACAAAUUUGUGUUCCAUGUUGUUUAAAAAAUGAAGUUUUUUAAACUAAUGUAAUAUUGUUAGUACUAUUUUUCAAAAUGUCUAAAAAAAAUUGUUUGAAAGAGAAAAAAUUGUGGUUAUAGUGAUUUCACGUCAAUUUAAAUGAAUACUAAUAAUGUUAGAAUCCUAACUUGAGUCUGGGUGCCAUUCAUCACUCGUGUAUUAAUAAGAUUAAAUAAUUUUAUAAAGAUGGAGAGUAAUAAAGUUCAAACUUAGCUACAAUAAACACGUCUUGUAUCAAAAAUUAGGAAACACUAUUUGAUGGCGUUUAAAUUUUGUUCUGUUACAUGCUUUCUUUCUCAAAUAUAUAUAUGUUAUUUGAUGAAUUUUAUGGGAGGCAUAAUAAGAGGUGAAUCGCUGCUCUCAAUACUCCGUUUAGGAAGAGCCCUAUGGUUAAAGUUAAACAAAGAGUCCAACCUUUUGAGACGACAAAAUAUUACUAACGUUAAUACAAACUUCAAGGAGAAAACCAAAUUACAAACAUGUUCAAAAAUCAACUUCGAGAGAUAUAAAAUUUCCUGAAAAAGAUCUCAAAGUUGAAAAUCUCAAACUCAAAAGGAAUUGAACUUCGCAAUUGGUGGAGCCUCUUUCAAGCCUUAAUAAUUCCUGGCGGAGCUUUUUCUUUGGAGCUGAGUUAGUGAAUACAAUCAUCAUCCUAUUCAAACCUUCGCCAUUCUUCAACAGGUACUUGACUAGUUCCAUUUCAUCUUUCUGACCUCCAAAACUCAAAAUCUCAAUUUUCUUAACGCGUAUCAACAAACAUUGGGGCGCACAAUGCGGUUCAAUCCACUUGAAAUUGAAAAAUUCUGAUUAAAAAGAAAACAAACAUCAGACACAACAAAUUAAGUACAAUCAGUUUCUUUCGAAAGUUCAUAACCUACUAACCAUCCGAAGGACAAAUGCUUCUAAUUUAGGCAUGGUAGUAAGGUUGAAAUGACGGAAUUGCCAUCCAGAUUUUGCCACCUCCACUGCAGUUGAGGAGCUUUCAUGUUGAAAAAGACAGCAAAUUAAAUUCAAUAGAGUAGAAAUAGAACAAGCAGUUACUAAAUGUCCUUGAAAUUAGAACCUACACUGUCAAAUCUUUGACAUAUAUAUUUGGAAUGUGAUUCUGAUUCAUUCAUAAUGCUCUAACAACUACUUGGUGCUCAUUCCAAGAGACCCACCGUAUCCAGUUUUUUAACGUUAACCUCCUUAGAGUAGCGGAUGAAAUGUUAAAGUUGGCCAGUGUUUCAUAACAUUCAUAAUCCAUAUCUGCCGCUACUGACAAAUCUUACAGCAUGGGACAAUUACAAAAGAGUCUCUCACUCAGGUUCUUAUUAGUAGGGUAUAUUAAAACAUCAAGAAUUUUGACACUUGGAAAACAAAUUCCAGGGGGAGGUGCCUUGAUAAAAAAUCUCAAAUCCAGUUUGAGAUUUUCUAGUGUUUUUGAAGUGUAAAUGCUCUCAGGCAACUCAAUUCCCCCAAAAUUCAAAUUGUCAAGUUUUGGUCGACAGUCAUUAUAAAUUUUAAGUUCCAACUCACGGACAUUACGGCUUAUUGCAGAGGAAACCCAGAACUUCAACUGAGACAAAUUGUAGCGAGUAAUACUGCUAAGAGAAAACCUGUUAAUUGCAGAAUCAGAAAGAAGCAACGCCAUAUUUACAGACUUCUCAAAACUAUUCCAACUAUCAUCAGUCAUAAUCCGAGCCUGGUCAAAGCAAAGAUUGGGAAGUGAAGUCCAAACACACUUCCAUCUUGAAGAUAGAAUACAAGUUGCCACAGCAUAUUUGAAGGGUAGAAACGAGAGAAUGUUGCAGAGGAUUCCAUCAGGUAAACUACUGAUCCUAUCUUCUUUAUCUUGAUUCCCCGCUCUAAGUAAUUUGGAAUGUGAUUCUGAUUCAUUCAUAAUGAAAAUUCUCAAACAACCUGACAAAUAUAAAAUUAGUGUUAAACUCAAAACUGAAACAAAGGGUUUGAUGGGUUUAAUCUUUAUAUCCUAAAAAUCGGUUCUUCAUAAAUUGCGAUUUGUUCGCUAAGUAACUCAUGAUGGAAACUACAACAGAGAAAGGACAAUGUGGGUUACUCUAUAUUACAUUAACUCGCCAUAACUAGCUAAUACGAUUUAUUAUCUUUUCUUUUCAUCAAUUUGUAAGUAACUAGGCACAAGAUUAAUAUACUAGAUCAUAGGGUAGAGUUGAAAAGAGUAACGAACCUUGUUAAAAUAAAAUAAAAAGAGACAAUCCGUUACUCCCAAUCAUAAGAAGCAGCGAAAGACAAGAGCUCUUACAGACGAUUCAAAUUUCAACCCAAUUCCUCGGUUACUGCACUGGAGAGUGGGGAACUAGAGAAGAAAACGCAGCAGUAGCACCAGAAACGCACCGUUUUUAUUUUGCUUGCCAUUUGCCAAUGACAAAAUUUAAAAUAAAUAUAAAAAGCAUUUAUCUGAGCUUAUGGGAAUACUUUUUUUUUUUUUAUACACUGAUAUAUUAUAAUUAAAAUUUUAAUUAUAUUUAUGAUCAAUAUUUUCUAUGAUAAUUUUAUUAUGACAAGUUUUACCCUCACAUAAUACUAAAAGAAUGUAUAUUCUACCCAAAUUAUGGGGGAGUAUCAUUUAAUAAAAUAAAAUAUGUUCCUUUUAAUAUCUUUAAUAAUUUUUUAAUCGAUUGAUUGGGUAACCAUGCGAUCCAUUUGAUAUUUUUAAAAGUUUUUUAAUGAAUUAAUUGGGUAACCAUGGGAUUGGGUUGGGUUGACUGACAUGAGGUCAUAAAACCCAAUCAAUCUAAUCUAAAAUAAUAAAAAUGAGGAUUAACUGUUUGAAUUUGAUCUAGACAAUGAGGUGGGGAUGUCUACUUCAUUCCCCACUUGUUAAAAAUUUUGCCUCCAUUUCAUAUUCCAUUCCUUAAUAGAUUUUAGCAGUGGUGGGAAUAGAGAAUCCUCGUGUGGGGAAUGUUUUCUUCAUUCUCAUCUUAUUUUUUAUUUACUUAUUUUAUAGUAUGUAUAAAUAUAUAAUUUCAACAAAUUAAAAAUUAAAGACUUAAAUAAAAUUAUCAUCAUAUUAUAAAGGAUAUAAAUUAUUUAAAAAAACUCCAAAAGUUUGAAACAAUAUUUUAAAAUGAUAUUGACUAAAAAAUGUUUGAAGAAAACAACACUUUAAAAGAGAAAAAACAUAAUAAUGUUUUAAUGUUUUAAUAUUGAAUAAGAAUUAUAUUUUAAGGUUUUUUUUAGUUAAUCCUAUUUAUAUUAGGUAAAAAUAAUAAAAAAAUUAUUAAUCAACAUUGUAAUUGAUAAAAUAAAAAUUAUUGAAUAAAAAUUAAAAAAUAUUUAUAUAUAAUCGGAAUUACAGUGAGGGUGAGGUGGAGAAUUCAAAAUCAAACCUUACCCCAUUAAGAAUUUGAUAACUAUUUUUCCUCUACUCUCCACCUCAUUCUCCAAAAAUUAUUCAAAAUUUACCCUAUUUGAAAUGGGUACAGAGGAUUUUACCAUCCCUAAAUUUUGAUCUCUGAGAAAUAAAAGAAAAGAUAGAUAACUUGGACUAUUCUGUUUUAUUAUACUCACUGAAGAUAGCUAAUAAAUUUCUCUUCCUCUCAUUAAUCUUCCCAAAUUUCGCUUUCAUAUCAUAGGCAGCAAUAAAGCACAAGAAUAAGAAAAUUACUAAGAGAGAGAAAAGAAAAAGAACCUGAUUAGGCAAAUAAGCAAACAUGAUACUUCCAAGCCAAAACCUCUAAGAAGCAAGAGACUAGAAGAUACACUUUGCUAACAAAUCUUUGGUUCAAUUGAACACAUCCAACCACAAAUGUACCAAAAUUUAUGUGAAAUAACAAUUACAAAUGGGAGGUUGGCUUGUUUGAAAGAACUUGUGUGUUUUUGAAAUGGUGUCAACAAUUCGCACAAUAACCCAGCCCAGAACAUGAGGAUUUGUUGGAUAUUAAUGCCAAUAGUAAUAAUAAAAAUUUAAUAAAAAAAAAUUAAAGUGAAGAUAAUAUUCAUUUAGGUUGAACAUUUACUUCUAUAUGGGAGACUGAGCCGCAAUAUUUUUCUGACUGCAAUUGAGACUUGAAGAGAAUUCCAUGAGUCCAUUUAAUAGAAACUUCACAAGCAGAUUGCCAAAAAAGGCAGUGCAUUUCUCAUUGACUGUGUUAGCAAAAUCCCCGUCCAUUCCAUGGGAUUGGACCUUUUAAGUGCCCUGUUAGUCAAUCAACCCACUUAAUUCCUAAUUUGAGUCAAUUGUUUACCCUUGCAUGAAAUUGUUCCACAAUGUUUAUUCUAGUUUCCAGACAUCACAGUUUAUGUAAAUGAAUUGUUAAUAUAAAUUCAUAAAAGCCGCUCUGCAUAUAAAGAAUAAGACAAUGUACUUGCAUCACAAAAAACACAAAGUAUCUCAUCCUGAAACCAUGUCAAGCAUAUUCUGCAAUUGAGUUAUCAACAAAGCUAAUAUGCAUAUUUACACACAUGAUGCAAAAACCCCCCACAAAACCCAAACUCGUGAUGUGAAAACUCUCAAAGGAAUUCAACUUUACAAGUCUUUGAGCCUCUUUCAAAAAUUAAUAACUUCUGGAAAAGCUUUUUGCUACAAGCCUCUUUCAUGGAUCUAAUGAUCAUUUUGUCCAACACUUCACUAUUUUUCAAUAAGUAUUUGACCAGUUCCAAUUCGUGUUUCAAACCUUCAAAUCCACAAAUUUCAAUUUUCUUGACAUGCAACAACAAACAAUUGGGCACACAUUGUGGCUCAGUCCAUCUAAGGUUGUCGCCCACAAUAAGGAAAUCAAUUUCCUGAUCAAAAGAAAAAUAUCAUAAACAACAAAUUAAGUGCCAUUUGGCUCGAAAGUCAUUCUCAUACUCACCAUUGCCCCUAAGUUAGGUAAACUUCUGAGGAUGAUAGGUAGCAGCCGAAAUCCAGAUUCUUCAAUUUCCACCUUCAGAUAGGUCAAAUAGGGAAAUGUAGGAAUGUAAUCCUCAAAAGCACAGUCAAGGGCCUUACACGGGGAACAAGCCAAUCAUUGGAAAACAAUUAUGUAGAAAAAUAACUUGCAGUUAAUAAAUUUCCUACCAAUUUGGUAGGGAAAAAAAAAUCUACUACUAGAACAAAUGCAUGAGAAUUAUUAACGAAAAUAGGAAGAAAGAAACAUGUAGAAUAUAUAAUAUGCACAACAGAACAAUAAAAAUUACAAUGUGGUUUAAAAGAGAACUUACAGAAAUAAUACCAGCAGACAAGGAUAAAAACCUGGUGUUAGUGAUUCCUUUGAGAAGCUGUAGCAUACGAUCAGCUGGAAUAUUUGGUGGAUCAAAUUCUUGCAAGUCUUCCACAAAAUAUUUAUCGAAUUCAAUAUCAAAAUGCACUUCAGUUAAGGAAUGUAGCUCAUGCACCAUAUAAGAAACCAAGGUAUCGUCGUAAAUACAGAGGUGUUCGAGAUUUGGAGCCCUAAUCAUAACUUGAUGCUUGGUAUUACUAAACAAAACUUUUUCUAAUGAUAAGGUUAGCCUCUUCAAAGUGAGGGAUGAAAUGUUAAGGUUAGUCACUGAAUGUUUAUCCUCCAAAUGAAUCUCUAUCAAUAAAUCUUCAAGCACAGGGCAAAUAGUAAAGAGCUUCUCAGUAAUGCAGGUCGAAUGAGGAUAAUACAUUUCAGCAUGAAGACACUUAAGACUUGGAAAGCAUAUUCUAGAGGUAGGAAUCUUGAAAUCAAAAUCCAAUUUCAGUUUGAGCAUUUCAAGUGUUUUGCACGUGCAAAUAUUAUCAGGCAACUCAAUAAGGACAUCAACGUACACGUGAUUAAGUUCAAUGUCACCAACAUUACGCUCUAUUGCGGAAGAAACCCAGGAUUUAAGAGGAGGCAAAUCAGUCAAAUAGAUAUUGGGUUCAGAACAAUGGACAGAAAACUUAUUAAUAUCCGCCGAAUGAAAAAGGAGCACCUUGUUUACAAAAUUCGCAAACCUAGUCAAAACAUCCUGAGUGGAUUCACCAGGACGUUUGUCCUUAAACCAUAAGCUGUCAUCAAAGCAAAGACAGGGAAGUGAAGUCCAGAGGUGCUUCCAUCUAGAAGAUAGAAUGCAAGUUUGCACAGCACAUUUUAUGGGUAAAAAUGAUAGAAUGUGGCAAAGGAUUUCAUCGGGCAAACUACUUAUCCUAUCCAUUUUUUCUUGAUUCAACACUUGAAGCCUUUCGGAUUUUCCACACUUGGGAAUGGAUUUUUCCAUCGUGGUGAUUCUCGACCAGCCUGAGAGGGAAACAACAAUAGAAACAAAACAAAAAAUUUUAGGAUUUUGUUGGGCUUAAAUGGGUUUUCUUAAAAUUCUGUUUGUUUCCUGAGAAAACUUAAAAGAGAGUAAUUACUAAUUACAGUGGAUUAAUAUUCUACUUCACACCAAUUCAAUAGAGAGAGCAUUAGCUCAAAUUUUCUGAUCCUUUUUAUAUUUUAUUUUCCCUCUAAAUGUAGCAACCAAAGCACAAUAUACAAUAGAACAAGAGAGAGAAAUGAACCUGAUUAGGGAAACAAUAGAACCAUAGAGCUCCCACACCAAAUAAUUUGAGAGGCAACAAAUCGGCAAGCUUUGCUCCAGAGUUUAGGAUGUGCAAGGAAAGAGAACGCUGACAGUCCUACUUGAACGCACCGGUUCAGUGUAAACAAGGAGCGGGACGGGCCCAUUCAGUUGGCCCAUAAUUAAGCUAUGCCCAUAAAAAGCCCGGCCCAAAUUCUGAUAAUAUCUUCAGAUAGGUGGAACAAUUAGUUAAAGAGUUGGACUAUUGGCACCCCUCUCAUCUCCUCAUAAAACCCCCUUCUUAGUUAUAUUCACUUUAUUUCCGAAAAUGUCCCUUUUUUUAGAUUUAAUUUUCUAAAUUCUCAAUUUUCAUUUGAUUCAGUUUAAUUUUCUAAAUUCUCAAUUUUCAUUUGAUUUGUUUUAUUGUUAAAACUCAAAGUAUUAUUGUGUUAUUUUUUUAAUUAUUUUCAAUUUUAUUAUUAAUCUACACACAAAUUAAAAAGUUAUAUAGGUGAUAAAUUUUUUAGUGUUAAUCAUUGAUUGAAAUAACACAUAUUUCAAAUUAUAAUUUUAAAGUAAUUUUAAGUAUAAAAAUAUUUAAUCCAUAAGAAAUCAAAAGAGAACAAUAAAUUAUUUUAAAUUUGUAUAAUUUAUUUUAGUUAGAUAGGAAGUAACAUAUAAAUUUUUUUUUUUUUUUUGAAAAAGAUUGAUUAUGAAUUAAGUAAUUUGCUUGAAAAAAAAAACUAUAUGUGUUUAAUUUUUAAUUAUCUUUAAUUGUAAUUUUAUUUAACGUGGGGUUUUGCAAGAAUAAUGUAGGGGUGCCAAUAGCUCCACUCUUAGUUAAAUUUCCAGCUAAAAUUUGUUAAUUUCUUCGUUCUUGUUUAAUUUUUUUUUAUAUGUCUACAACCACGUCUGCAAAUAAGCAAAUGACAUCACACUGUCCUCCUGGUGGUGCUUCUCAAACCAGUAAUGAAUACAAAUUCUGGGAAGUCAUUUCAAUUACCUAUUUCCAACCCUAAGCCAGAUUCUCUCAUGAUUUUGUACGUAACUGCUUGUGAUUAAGUAUAUAAUUUUUCACCCGCGGUGGCAAGACUGAUUCCGUAAGGCUUCCGUCUUCUAAGUCUCAAAUGCAAAAAAAGAUCUUGUUCUAUCAUUGAUUAGAGAUUUCUCAACGAAAAAAAAAAACUCAUAGGCGCCAAGUGUGAGGGAAUACUAGACAUUUUGGUACUUGCUUAUGCGGCCAGGAGAAAAGACCCUAUGGAGGUGGCCAAGACAUACCCCGAGACAAAUCCGAAGACAUCCUUCAGAAGCAAUACAUUUAUCAAAUUCAACAUGGAUUUGACAACACGUGCUUUUGUGUUCACCCUUUCAAGGAACAUGAAAAAAUAAUCUAGAUAUAUAUCUCGAUUAUUUUAUAUAUUUAAAUAAAAACAAAUAAAUAAAUCUAGACAAACCAAAACAUGUUUGACGAGAAUAAUAUUCUAAGACAAGCAAUUCAUUGAUUUUCAAACCGACCAGUUGAUUAUCUAUUAUUUGAUUGACUAAUAUUUCUGUUGGUAAAGGGAGCUCGGAAGGAAGAGGACUAUACCUUGAGAGAGGUAAGGAGGUAUUGAAUGCAGUCUACCCAAUGCUAGAUGCAGAGAUACAUAAUAGAUCUAUAUGAACAUCAUGAGUUGUCCCAAAAUGAAACUAAUUGUUGCUGAUGCUUGGGGUAUAGAAACGUAGCCACCAAAUAGUGAUGUUGUAAAGGUAAUAUGAAAUAUCGAGGAGAAAUUUGACCGGUCGCAUAUGCAAGCACGACUAGAGUCCUGCGAGAAGACCAGAAUCAGGUCGUUUAAUCCUGCGGUCUUGGUUAGUUCUUAGAUCGUUGAACUCCGCCCGGAAGUUAAACCAUAAUCAGGUUGUUUUAUUCUGCGGUCUUGGUUAGUUCUUAGUUCGUUGAACUCUGCCUGGAAGUUCGGUUGUUAAUGUCUAAGCAUGACCGGGCGCUAUAAUUGCAACUCAAUACUACACAGAAACGGAUACAUUAACUCAUAAUUUAAGUGGUGCAUUCAAUCAAAUAACAUAUGUGCAUUAAAGAAGAUGCGAUCUUGGGCGCCUAUAAAAACCCUGGAAAAUCCAAAAGAGGGGGCUUUUUUGGCUGAUAAGAGGUCUGAUUAAAAAAACAAAAAAAGAAAAAUAAGAUCACGAGCGUUGUGCCAUUAUUAUUUCUUUGUAAGAAAACUCGAUUGCUGACUUGAGUGUUAGAGGAUUUUCGUUGGGAAAAAUCCGACUCUCCCUGACAGUUUUCUAUUGUUGCAGAUUAAAACGAAGUAAGGAGAUAAUUCCAAUUCCAUCAAGAUAGCAGUUAGUGGUUCCCUAUCAAAACAAAUUCAAGUGUUGACAAAGCAUCCUGGUCGUUAUCGUAAGCUCGACCAAAUUACCGAUACCUUACAAACUCUCCCAAUUCAUGUACACAUUUCAUACAUACAUUAAGUGUAUGUAGUACAACAAAAAUACUUUAAAAUCUCACGUUGAGAAGAAGGUUAUAUGUGGCAUGGUCAACUCAAGAUGGUUUCUUUAGUAUUUACCAACAAGUAAUUGCAAUGCUUUUAUAGAAUGAAAUUGGGAUAGUGAAGUAUACGACAUACAGUCAAUCCAUUUUUUGUUACUAACUAAAUUUGACUGAGUUUUGACACUAAAGUAAUAACAGAGAAAUAUUAAAAAAAAAAGACAGAAAAUGGAAUAACCAAGCUAAAAUGGAAAAAAAAAGAGAAGAGUUUUAGCGCUUGAAAGAAAAGAUCAUACACAACAAAUGAAACAAAUGAAGUACCACUUGGCAGUUGGUUUGAAAAUUAAAAUUCAUGAUCAAACUAGUCCUCAGGUUUCAUUUUCCCAGUGAUCUUGGCCAAACAGGCAUUGUCCCCAUUGAUCACAUAGAGUCUCGGAGGGCCACAAUGGGCUCUUGGACAUAGUUCUGAGUUCUGAAAAACAGUUAUUAUAAAUGACAGAGGUAAAUUUUUGCGGUUCCAUUAACCCACGAUACGUAUUGGUUCAAAUCCUUAAACAAAAGAUCUUUCUUCAGUUGGUUCAAAUCCUUAAGCGCAUGGCAGGAGUAACACGGCCCUCUUGCUCUUGGUGGGCGCUUCUGAAAUGACUACAAAUUCUGGGAAGUAAUUCAAAUUCCAGAUAUGCAACCCGCCUCAGAUUCUGAGCAAGAAGAGCCAGAUAAUCUACAGUUUUGUAACAAAGACUGAUUCUACAGCAAAUGGAAUAACCCAAACCAAGAAAAAAGAGCUUUCAGAAAUAUAUUUCAUUUCUCAACAGCAUUGUUUUCAACAUCCGUGAAAAUAUUCAUGCACAAAUUUAGAGAUCAUCAUGGUAAAGGAAUUCUUCCAUAGGAUUUUUCUUCUUGCAACCCCACUUACAUUUCAUAGAAUACAAGGAGUUGAAUAAUGCAAUUCUUGUGGAAAGAAGGGAAAUGAUGUUUGAAGUUGAAGGAGAUUUUGGACGAACUAUUACCAUCCAUGCCGUCUGUGCCAUCAGGGAAGUGCUACCACAAUAGAUUGCCAGCUCCACUGCCUCAUUUCUUUGUUGACUUCAAGAGAGUUUUGCAUGCUAAGCAGAUAAGUGUGUCUCCGAUUGAUAUCUAGCAACUGGUGUCUUUUGCAUGAUACGCCAAACUCAAAAGCACAACUAGUAUUCCAAGAUAUUUCUCAUCAUCCUCUAUGCGUGCUUCCAUUUAUGAUAGAGUCCAUCCUUGGAAAUGCAACAACAUCAGGGGCCAUCUUGUACGUGUUAAAGAAAAUUGGAGCCAUAGUUACAACAACAGGAACUGAACCAUAGGGUACUCCAGAUGAAGAUACAGGACAACCUUGUUUGGCCGUGUAUCAUGACAAGACAAACAAAGAUGAUUAGAUCAUGAUUGGUGAAGACUGAAGACAAUGGACUUUAAUACAUUUUCUCAUUCAACUUCCAAAGAUCACAUCAAUAGACUUCAUAAUUUGCAAAAACAAUGGCUGAUGAAGCAAUCCCAAGUCUGCAAAUAAUCAAAUAGCCCUUUAGUGGUGCUUCUGAAAUCACUACAAAUCCUGAAAAGUGAUCACCACAUUAUGAAGAUUAAGAGCCAUACUCCUAACAAAAUUCAGUGUACAUAACAAGUAUGUUAUGCACAUUUGGUGAUAAGAGGCAUGUUGUACUUUGCUAAGACCAAAAAUCAAAACAGAAAAUGUUAAGCGAGAGAACCUUCCAACAUCAUCUCACAAACAUUCAAAAGAAUUCAAUGUUGCAAGUCUUAGAGCCCCUUGGAAACAUGAGAAUCUCUUUUCGGAGAUUGUCCUCUGGUGCAUCUUCCGCAAAACCCACUGAAAACUUCUCCAAUACUUUACUAUUUUCCAACAAGUACCUGACCAUUUCCAGCUCAUAAUCUUCCCUCUUCAGGUUUGUUAUCUCAAUCACCUCAACACACGAUGACAAACAAUUAGGUGCACACUCUGGUUCAACGCAAACAAGAUCCUCAAAUACAAUGUCUUGUAAUGUGUUAGGAGUCAAUUUAUGAGCCUAUGAAGCAAGAAGAAUCACACAUUUCAAAAACAAAGUGAACAAGUAAUGCAAUUAAUUAGCUAUGCAAACAAUAUAUUCUUAACUCACCUUUGAGAAGUCCAAGUUAAGAACUUUCAGACUUGGCGACCUUUUGAGAAAUGGUGUCAACAGUUUCCAGCCAAAGCAAGAGUCAAUGUGCAACUCCAAUGAGAUCAGAUUGGAAAACGUUGGCAAAUUAUUAUUUAAAACAAAGCUUAAAACCUACAAGAGAAAUAAAGAUAAUUGUCCAAUAAAAUUAGUACAAGAACUAAAUAACAAUAUAGUAUAAGUGAAAUAUUAAUCUUAAAGAAAAUAUUACCAAAUCAGGUGUGCAAAAUAUCAAGACAUUCAAAAAUUGAUAACCAGAGAAAAUAUUAAGUGCAGGAAAUACCGUCAUUGAGUCAGGUAAUGAUAAAAUCUUCAUACUUUUAAUUCUUUUCACAAGUUCCAGUGCACUUCUAGCAUCAUUUUCGAAGAUACCAGACGAAUUUCUUCUAAGAACAUUGAAUUCAACAAGCACAAAUGCUUUCUUCAGAAAAGGUAUUUCAUCCAAUACAAAGUAUGCUAAGGAAUUAGCAAUAAUGCUGAGGUAUUCAAGAUUAGGGGUUCUAAUCUCAAAUAUACGCUUAGAGACGUAUCCUUGCAUUACGAAUACACUUAUGCUUAGCCUUUUGAGAGUCUGCACAAUAAUGUUAAUAGUCUGUACAUUAUCACGUGGGUGAAGAAUCCCUUCAAUUGUCAACUCUUCAAGUGUAGGACAACUACUAAAGAACUUCUGCAUUAGGCCACGAUCCGGAUGGCAAAAGCCAAAAUGAAGAAUUUUGAGACUCGGAAAACAUAUCCCAGAUCCGGGAAUAUCAAUAACAAUAUCACUGCACAGUUUUAACUCCACUAGUGUUUCACAAGUUAAAAUACUCUGAGGUAACUCUAGAAUCCUUUUAUGUCUAGUAAAGUUACUAGUACUAUAUACAUCAAGAAAAAGGUGGCGGACAUUGCGUUGGAUUGCAAAGCAUAUCCAUUCACUAACACGAGAAAAAUCUUUUUCUCGAAGAGUAGAACUUCUAAGAUGAAAAUUGUGAAUAUCUUUCAAUUGACAAAGACCAAGUACUCGUUCCACAAAAUUCAGGAACCAACUCCUCGGUUUUUCAUUACCCCCAUCAAAGUAAAGACCGUGGAUUGAAGUCCAAAGAUCCCUCCAUCUUGAUGAUAAAAUGCAGGUCCUGACAGCAUCUUCAGUUGGAAGACAUGAGAGGAUGCGACAAAGAAGAUGAUCUGGUAAUCUACUUGUAAUGUCACCUCUUGCAUUGUCUUUAUCAACGUUUUUCUGAUUCAUAAUUCUCUGACAAUGAUACAAUUAACUGCAACAAAUUUGAUAUAUGAAGACAAUUGCAAGCUUCCAUAAAUUUGUUAGAAUAGAAAAUACCAUCACCAGUCACUAAAUUUAGAUAAAAAAUUUUAACAAUAAUUCAGAACCCUUCAAAUUGCAUCGAGUCACAGAAAUAAUCACCAGAUUUUUAACAAGCAAAUGCCAUGCCGGAACAAAGAAAAAAAAGGCAAAUAAUGGAAGAAAGAAAAGUUUCCAAAACCGAAAACAAAAAUCUUAAGAAGACCACCAACUAUUGAGCACUAAAAUGAGUUUCCAUAAAGGUCACUGGUUAGCGGUUACAGCUCAAUUAUCAUUUUCAGUUAUUCAUAACAGUCAAAACCCACCCGACUUUAUAAAUUUCCCAUUAAUAUAUACAAAGUUUACCCCAAAAUAUUAAAACAGAAGGGGGGAAAAAUGAUAAAUUUAGAAUAAAUGAAAGAGAACCGGACCUGAGGCAGUGUGCUGUAAUCAACUCCUCGAAAUUGUUCAGCUUAGGAAAAGGAAAGGAUUGCGUUAAUAAUGUAGAUGAAAUGUAUCGUUUAUGUCCCUUAUUUUAUUUAUUUAUAAAAAGACAUAUGUAACCUGUCAAAUUUUACGUAGUAGGUCCAGACUAUUGAUUUUUUUUUUUAAAAAAAAAAAAAUUAGCAAUGGCUAGAGUGAAAAUUGUAAUAAUAUAUCUAACCUUUAAAUUUCCCCCCAAAAAAAUAAAUAAAUAAGUAACCUUCUCAUGAAGAAAAAAAGGUUUAUUUAAUAAAAAAUGACGAAUUAUGUUCUUAAAAGUAAAAUUUAUUCUGAAUUUUUUAUUGGUUCACAAGCAACAUUAUUGUCAAUCUAGAAAUUCAGUUAAUUAGAUAUGCUAAAAAAUUAUUUUUGAGUGCAUUCAAGAAACCAAAGAUUUUAUUUAGUAUUGAGGUGUUGUAAAUUUUAAACUAUAAUUACUGUAAAAAAAAUUAUAACUAUAAAAGAAAAGUUAAUUUUUAAAUAAUAAUUUUGAUAAAAUUAAUAGCAAAGAUAUAAUAAAUUUUCCAUUUUGUAAUUAUAAAAUUAAAUUAAUUUAAUUUUGAGAUUACAAGAAACUAAUGUUUAUCAAAUAUUAUAGUGUUGUACAACCUCACUCUCAAACAUUACCUCAAAUUCCAAAAAUAGGCGAGUUAUGCAUAAACAGUUUCAAAAGUUUAUGGAGAAAGCAAGAGUCUGCUUUCUAUUCUAAACGGAUCAAACUGAGAAAGAUUGGACAAUUAUCGAUAAGAAAUUUGUUUAAAGGCUUCUUUGGCCAGAGGAGGAAAAAAAAAAGGACAAAAAAACUCUGAGAUGCAAGAAAAUCGGCAGGCUUUCCUGCAGCGUGUAGACUGAUUGUUGGAGAUGCACACAAGAGCCCGACCCAAAGACUACACAAAAUUUCAAUAAACAAUUUAUUUAAACUGGUAUUUCAUUUUUGGAUUAAUAUUUUAUUAAUUAAUUAAUUAAAUCUAAUAUUGAAUGUUAACUAUAGAAAAUUAUUCAAGUAUUCUUUUAACAAUGAUAUUGAAUAUUAUUAGAAACUUUAAUAGAAACUUCACAAUCACAGUGAUCGGAUUGGCAUAUUGCAUCAUAGUCAAGAUGAUGAAUGCAUGGCAUUCCCAGCGUUGAAAAUCCAAAGGGCAAUCGAGUUAAAGAAGAUAGGAUUAGUCGUGGAAAACAAAAUGCCAGAGGGAGGAAUCUUGAUAACAAAAUCCGAACUCAGUUUCAGAACUUCAAGUGCUUUUGAAGUGCAAAUGCUAUCCGGCAACUCUACAAACAGGAUUGCAAUACGACUCUAAAGCAUGGAGGGCUGCAAUUUAACAACCUGGCUCAGAUUCUUAUAAGGUCACUCAGUAUGCUAUAGAGGACCUCUACAGAAUAGUUGGAAUCCUUAGUUGAAAUUUCAGCUAAAUUACGAGCGUACUUUCUCUUUAACAUUUAAAUAAUGACUUUCAGGUUAUCUGUGUUUCUGGAGGCAUUCUUUUUAGGUAACAAAUCACUGUAGGUAGAAACAAUCAUAGCUAAAACAACAGAUAAGAACAUAGAUCUUGACAACAAGUAAAGUAGCAGAUAAUAUGCAGGUGUCAGAGGAUAGAGAAGUAGGAAAGCGAGUAUAAAAUAUUAACGUCGCUUUUGAAAGCUGCACUAUACGCAUCAGCUGGAAAACCUAUUUCAAGAGGCAAUGGUUAAAAACAGAGGGUCUUGAUAAUUACAAAACAGUUGAUCUUUCCUUCCAUAUAUCUAAUAAAUUGUGGAUAUAUUCAGUGAUUUAUUUGAAGAAAAACCCCUCACUCCGAUUGUCAUUGCAAACAUAACAAACUAUUUUAUUUUAUGUUUCACAUCCAACCAAAGAAGUCAGAAGUAACAUAUGCAGAGCAAAAGAAGGACCUUAAAACAAACUUGACACCAAAGCUUACAAACAUCACCUCGAAAGAAGAUGACAAACAUUUAUUUAUAGUUACAAGGAUGAAAAAUGGGGGGGGGGGGNNNNGGGGGGGGGGGGGGGGGAAAUCAAAUUCAUGUACAUCAACAGCAUGAUAGGAACCAUUUAGAGGAAAAUUUCAGUGGAAUUCAACUUGACAAAACUUGGAAGCUCUUUCAAACAUCAAUAACUCCUGACACUGCUUAAGCUUUUCCUGCCAAGUCCGUGCCCAAGAUUUAACAAUCAAUUUUUCCAAACUAACAAUAUUCUUUAAGAAGUACUUGGCCAAUUGAAAUUCAUGCUCGGAUCCUCCAAAACUCCUCAUUUCAAUUUUCUUGACAUGAAACAGCAGACAACGAGGUACAGGCUCUUCAAAGAUAAACCCGGAAUCAUGCACCUGAUUUCGAAGAAAACAAAUAUUAUAAACAAGAAAUUGAGUACCAUUUAAUUUAAAAAAGUUCAUCACAUUCUCACCGCAAGACUGUGAAUGAGAAGAACUUCUAAAUUUGGCAAACUAUUGAGGAUGGCAAGAAGCAGCUUCCGUGAAGUUCCUCGAGUAUGCACUUCCAAAUAUGUCAAGUUGGGGAAUGUUGGAAAGAAAUCCUCAUAAGCCAAAUCAAGAGCCUUUCAUAGAGAGAAAAAUAAUAAUAAUUCAGAAAACAAUAAAUUACAAACAAAACUCCAGCUAACUGAAUUUCCUAGAGAAUAAUUAUAUUAUCCUAGUUUUAAAAAAAUGUCAGUACAAGGUGAUUGUGCAGCAAAUUAAAGAUAAAAAAAAAAAAAAAUUAAGCAUAAGAAGCUUCAAAGCAUCAAUCAUUGGGUUGAGAAAGAACUUACAAACAUAGUUUCUACGGACAAGGACAUAAACUUUAUUUCAUUGACUCCUUCAAGAAGCUCUAACACACGUUUAGCCUGAGGCAAUGGCCGCUCCACAUAGGAAGGCGAUGGCCACUCAAAAUAGGAAACAUCAAUAAAAGCUUCAGUUAGGGAAUGUAAUUCAUGCACCAUAUAGGAUACCAAAGCAUGAUCUAUAAUAUGGAAGCGUUCAAGAUUUGGAGCCCUAAUCAAAAUUUUGUGCUCAUUGUAAGAACUUCCCUGAUCUCCGAUGUCAAACCUUAUGCCUAACUUCUUCAGAGUAGGAGAUGAAAUAUUAAAGUUAGUCACCACAUCAGCAUUAACCAGAAGUCCCACUAUGGACAAUUCCUCAAGCACGGGGCAAGCAGAAAAGAGCCUCUCAGUCAAGUUGUUAGGGAGACAAUACAUUUCAAUGUGAAGGAAUUUCAAACAUGGGAAACACAAUCCAGAGGGAGGAAUGUUGAUAACGAAAUCUGAGUAAAGUACAAGAACCUCAAGUGUUGUGGAAGUGCAGAGGCUCUCAGGCAACUCAACAGGAUCUUGACGCUCAAAAAAAUAAAAGAGAGUAUGCAGACCGUGACUCUCAAGAUAAAUUUCAAUCUCACGAACAUUACGCAUAAUUGCAGAAGAAACCCAGAAUUUUAAAAGAGAUAAAUCGGUGAGAUUCGAACAUUGGAGGGAGAACUUGGCAAGGGUUGCCGAGUUAGUACGAUCAAGUACCCAAUUCACAAAAUCCUCAAAUCCAAUACGAGGAUAGGCAUUCAUGCCAGCAAAAGUAUUAGUAAGUCCGAAAAGGGGAUCAAGAGCACGCAAGCUUAACCUGUGUACAAACUUAUCAAACCUUUGAGCAGUAUCCUUAGUCAAAGCAUCAUCAAUAGCUGGCCUUUCGCAAAACUCGUCGUCGAAGCAAAGAUUAGAAAGCCAGGUCCAAACAAGGUUCCAUCUUGAAGAGAGAAUGCGAGUAGCCACGGCAUGUUUUGCGGGUAAAAAUGAAAGAAUGUGACAAAGAAUUGGAUCAGGCAAACGACUGAUCCUAUCUUCGCUAUCAUGCUUGCCCACUUCAAGUAAUUCGGGCUGUCUGCUGUGUGAGUCUGACUCUGAUUCUUCCAUCAUCAUGAAUGUGCUCCAGCUCGACAUUCUGUUGAUCACUUUUCAUUUUCAUUUUUUGAAGUAAAAACAAUAUAUAUAUAGUAUCACCUGCUCUACUUGAAAUCAAGCCCAAGUGUAAGACAAAUAGAUAAGGGAGAGACAAAGUUAAAAGAUGAAAGAACCUGAUUAGAUGAACGAGAUAAACACGAUGCUCCCAAUUCGCAAAUCAAGAUCACUGCCAAGCAAGCAAACGACGAUCACUUUGUUGUAGAAGGAGGAACCUUAGUUCGAUCGCCAGCGGUUUGACUUUUGAUUAUUAUUAUUAACGUCUGGACAAAAAGCAGCGUUUGGUGUUAUAAAUUCAACGUCUACGUAUGUCGAAUUGAGAAUAUUCCCUUUCAAGUUGUCAUCACCCUAGCUUGCUUGGAGAAUGUGUUUGAAUUAUGGUAACACGUGACAAAAUCUAAAAGAUUCAUAAUAUAAUUGGUAAAAUUAAAAUAAAGUAAAUACCAACCAUAAGCAUCGCAUAUAAAUAUAUAUUUACCACCCGAAGAGGAGCUUAAACAAAAGGGUUUCUUUGGUGGCAUUGGAUGCUUUGUUUAAAGAACUGGAUCGCUCUCAAUGAUUCUAUCAAGACAACAUAUUUUAAGCAUUGAGUUGGUGGAAUGAUAUUAUAGAAGCCAUUGCAAACAGAGAAUUUUGAUUCCCAUGAUGCAAGGUACUAUGCUUAUUCUAGGUAAAACCAUCAAAAUGUAAGAGCAAUCACCAACUUGUUUAUUUGAUUCUGACAAACAUGUCAAGAAAUCGGAUUCAGAUUUGGAGACCUAAUCAUUUUUUUCCAAACUAACGCUAUUCUUUUAGGAGUACUUGACUACUUCGAAUUGACGAUGUUUGUAACCUUCAAAAUUCCUCAUUUCAAUUUUCUUGACGUCUUGGCAUGAAACAACAGACAAAGGGGCAUGGGCUCUUUAAAGACAAAUUCGAAACCACGUACCUGAUUUCAAAGAAAGCAAAUAUCAUAAGCAAGAAAUUAGGUUUAAUUUAAAGUUGACCAAAUUCUUACCUUCUGAUUUUGAAUAAUCAAAACUUCUAAAUUAGGCGAACUUUUGAGGAUGGCAAGAAGCAGUCUCCAUGUAGUUCCUUUAAUCUCCACUUCUAAAUGGGUCAAGUUGGGAAAUGUAGGAAAGAUUUCCUCAUAACUGAAUUUGAUUUCUCCAACCUUAUAUAAGCCUAACUUCUUCAGAGAAGGAGACCAAAAGUUAAAGCUUUUCACCACACCAACAUCACUCACAAGUCCCACUACCGAAAACUCCUCAAGCAGAUGGCAAGAAGAAAAGAGCCUCUCGGUCAAGUUACGAGGGGGAUUAUACAUUUCAACAUGGAGAUUUUUCAAACUUGGGAAACCCCAAGAAAUAUUGGUACAAAAUGUGACUAAUGAACAAGAACCUCAAGUGUUGUGGAAGAGUGGAUAUCCUCAGGCAACUCAAGAAGAUCGUAACCGUAAUGCUCAGGAUAAAAGAGACUGUGAUUGUCAACAUGAAUUUCAAUCUCGCGAACAUUACGCAUAACUGCAAAAGGAAACCCAGAAUUUCAAAAUAGAUAAAUCAUUGAGCUUGAAACAAUGGAGAGAAAACUUGCAAAGGGUUGCCGAGUUAGUCGGACGAGAUACCCUGUUCACAAAAUUCUCACAAACCUAAGGGUAGAAGGAAUUGUUGGUGAACUCAACAGGAACAGCACGAGUGGGAUUAAGAGCAGUCAAGCUGAACCUGUCUACAAAAUUGUCAGAACUGUGAGAACUAUCUUUAACAAUAUGAUUGUUAAUAGCAGGCGCCUCGCGUAGCUGGUUGCGGAAGCAAAGAUUAGAAAGUGAAGCACAAACAAACUUCCAUCUUGAAGAGAGAAUGCAAGUUGCAACGGCAUGUUUUGUAGGCAAGAAUGAAAGAAUGUGACAAGGAAUUGGAUCAGAUAAAUGACUGAUCCCAUCUUCGCUAUCUUGCUUGGACUUCCUCUUAGUGUUUAACUCCAUGAAUGUGCUGGACGUCUCUGUUUGAUCGCCGAGGAAGCUGGUGAAAUGAAUAAAUGAAAAUGGCAUCCUCUUCUACUUCAAUCAAUUCAAACACAAAGUUUAUAAAAGAUUACGGGUCGAAGUGAACUGAUGAAUGAACCUGAUUAGGCGAAAAAUAUAAACACGACACUCCCAAUAGGAGAAGCAAAGGCACUUUUUAGCUUUACUGUAGAAGAAAAUAGAGCUGCAGCUGCAGCUUGCAAAAUUUCCUUGCUUAAAGAAACUAUUUACGAAUGUCAAUAAGUAGAUUACCUAUUUAUUAAAGGCGACACAAAACGCACCGUUUUCUGUAUUUCCAUCUAUAUGUCGAAUUAAUGAUUGCUUUAAUUCAUUUGCCCAGGACCAAAGUCAAAAGUCUAAUGUCAGUCUCCAUAAUCCAGAGAAAGUUUCUAAUAUUUAGUUAAAUUUUUAUAAAAAUGAGGAUUUGUUUGAUUUAUAAAUUCAAAAAUAUACAGUAUACUUAUUUAACAUUCAAUCUUCAUGUUGUACCAAUGGCUUAAAGGAACUCAACGUGACAGGCUUUAGAGCCUCUUUCAAGCAUUAAUAAUUUCUGGAAAAACAAUUCCCAAAUCAUAAUUAUUAAACCAAGGUCCUGCCAUUGGUAGUCAGGCGUUCAAGAUUUGGAGCCCCAGUCAUAACUUGAUACUCGUAAUUUGCAUGGAACUCUUUUUCUAAUAAGGUUAAUCUCUUCAAAGCAGGGGAUGGAAUGUUAAGGUUAAAUGGCUUAGUAUGAUCACCCAAAUGAACGUUUGUAGAUAAAUCUUCAAGCAUAGGGCAAAUGGUAAAGAGCCUUUCAGUAAAGCAGCUGUAACUGGGUCAAUAUGUGUCAACAUGAAGAUACUUGAGACUUGGAAAACAUACUCUAGAGGCAGGAAUCUUGAAAACAAAACCCCAUUUUAGUUUGAGAACUUCAAGUAUUUUGCAGGUGCAAAACAAUUCGAUGAGAUCAUGACUUUGUUCAAUUUUGGAUAUGAUACUAUGAUUUGUCAAGUAGAUCAUGAUGAAUUUAUUAGUAAAUUAUAAAUUUGCAGUAGGUCCAAAUGCAUUAUCAAUAAAUUUUAAUAUGUGUUUUUGAGUGAUCAUAAUUAAUAUGUGUAACUAUUGAAACCUUCGAGAAAGUAGAACGUGAAUCUCUGUCAAAUAUCUGGCGGUCAAUGGAAGUAUUCUUUUUACAUUAGAAAAAUAUUUAGAAACAAUAACUACAACAACAAAUAAUUCCACAUAUCCAAUCCAAGCUUGAUUCUGAAAUUGACAGGACACAUUCUCUUAUGAUUUUUUUAUGUAACUACACGUAAAGGCACAUGCGGCAACAAGACUGAUUCCGCAAAGCAUCCUUCCAAGUCUUGAGAAGAAAGUUUGCAUAGCAGAGCAAGGCAUAGUCAAGAACUCAGUGGUCAGUACAAUUUCUUUACCAAUAAGUAAUUGCAAUGCUUCCAUAGUAUCAAACUGGGAGAGUGAUGACAUCUAAAUACUGCUGUUAAAUCUAUUUUUGUUACUAAAUAAAUUUGACAAGAGUUUAAAAACUAUAACAGCAAAGACAGCAAAUGGCAUAAAUAACCAAACCACGAAAAGAUUUUUGGCACAUACUUCAUUUCUCAAUAGCAUUGUUUUAACAUCCAUGAUAAGAUUCAUGUGUAAAUUUACAGAUCAUCGUGGUAAAGGAAUUCCUCCAGAGGAGUUUUCUUCUUGCAACCCCAUUUACAUUUUGUAGAACACAAGGAGUUGAAGGUUGCGAUUCUUGUGGAAUGAAGGGAAAUGAUGUUUGAAGUUGAAGGAGAUUUCGAAAGAACAAUUGCAUACCCAUCAUUCAUGUAGUCUGUUCCAUCAGGGAAGAGCUGCCACAAGAGGCUGCCGGCUCCGCUGCCUCCUUUCUUCGUUGAGUUCAAGAGAGUUUUGUAUACUGAGCUAAUCAGUGUGUCUCGGAAUGAUGUGUUAUAACCGGUGUCUUUUGCAGAUACGCCGAACUCAGUAAAUAGAACUGGCAUUCUGAGAUAUUUCUCAGCAUCCUCUAUGUGUGCUUCCAUCCAUGAUUUGGUGAAUUGAAGAUGGGCAUCAGAAAUAGUUUGUGAAAUCCUUCAUCAAUAAAAUUAAUCAGUCUAACAGAAGUUCUCAUAAUCAUAUAAUCAAAAUUCCCAGGGCAGUAUAAAUACUUUACCAAGAAUCAGCAUAAAUAUGAACUGAAGCAAAGUCAACACCAAGAGUCUGAUGGUUCCUUAUAAAAUCAGUUCCAACUUGUGUAGCGUACGAAUUUGGAUUGAAUUUAGCUCUGUCAGGGGCUGAGGGCCCAUAAAAUCCUUCCAAUCCAAUCUCCACCAAGUGCUUUGCAUCAAUGCUUUUCACAUAAACUGCCAUUUCUUGUAUCCAUGACUGUGAAAGAAAGUUAUUCAACUACUUCAGAAUAUGAAAGUGAUUUGCUACCAACUACCACAAUAGGAUAUGUAGAUAACUAGAUAUGCAUAUACAGCAAACAUAAAAUAUUACGCCAUCAUUGAAAGAAAGAGAAGAAAAAUACCUGCAGAGUAUCACCAGAAGGAUCUGAGGUGCAUCGAGGCUCAUUCAUCAGCUCCCAAGCAAAAAUUGUGGGGUCAUUCUUGUAAGUUAGGUUUGUGAAAGUGUUGACUCUAUUGAGCACAGUCUACAUUCCAAAAUAUCAAAGAGAUUAACACACUUAGUUUUGCAACUAAUAUAUUUUUGACAUCAAUGGCAAUUUUUGUGGAAUUCUAGUGGCCUAUAUAUAUAGUUGACAAACAGACAAUCUCAAUUGCCAAGUUCAAUUUCUACUGCAACAUAUAAAAGAUGGUUACCUUGACAUGGGCCUUGUAGUAGCUCUUGAGAGUUGUAUGAGAGAAAAACUCAUCGUCUGAAGUCAAAUUAAGGCCAGCAGCUUUUCCCCAUUUAACAUAUUGUGCCUUGCCACCGUAUGCAUCCCAGUUGUUCGUUAUUGACAGUAUGAGCCUGAUCUUAUACUUCUUUGCUUCACUUAUCACAAAAUCCAGGGCCUGGAAUUUGAGAAGCAAUGAUGAAAAUAAAGAGCAUCUAAAGUCUUGCUUUAUAGAAAUGGAGAGAAUUCAUAACAAGAAGAAAAAUUGCCUAAAGAAUGCAGAAUCAACUUUGGGAAAAGACUACUUUUUCUCCCAUAACGUUUAGCGGAAAGGAAUAAACUUGGAAGCAUGAGAAUUGAGAAGCAAGAGUACCUUAAAAACUUCUUCAUCAUAAACCGAUGGAGAUGUCUGAAGGGCUCGCCACUGGCCAUCGUUAAAUGCCCAAGUUCUACAAACUGUUAGACCAGCUGAAGAAGCUUGGUGAAAAAGCUCACUGACUUUUCCUCUUGUAGAUUGAUCCGCAGCAAAUACCAUCAACCAGUAAGUAUUGAACCCAUUAACAUAGAAGGGCUGGUCAUUAACCACAAAUUGGUUCCCUUGCUUCUGCACCAUUUGCCAGUCAUCAUCUUCCCUAACUUGCAAGUCAUAAAUCCUGCACAUUGGAACAAAAUAACUCAACCUUACAACCACAUAGAAAAUAUGAUCACCACAGCAUAUGGCAAAUAUAAUGAUCUCCAAUGAGAUUACCCAUGAUGUGUGCUAGCAUGUGACAAAUGAUUCUCUAUUUCCUCCACUGUUGACUCAAAUCCCCAAUCACCAUUGACUCCAAAGACUGUCCAACUUGAGUUUUCAAUCAAAAUCGUGAAGAUAACCAAUGAGAAAAAGGACUUAGACCCAAGUGUUAUCUUGUGAUAAUCCAUGGUAUUAAACAACUAAGCCGCAUUUUUCGAACUUCCAAGGACCACAUAUUUAUAUGUUCCCAUCAAAUGGUUCUUGUUUCUAAGGAACCAAAUUGUGAUAUACAAGAAGAGUAUAGAAGAGAAGAUAAACACUUUACCUUUGAAGCGAAGGAAAUUCCCUUCUUUCCUCGGCCAUUAUCUUCACUUUCUCUUGCAGAUACAGAUAGGUAUAGAGAGAUACGGAAGUUUGGUGUAAUAAAGAUUGUGACACACACUCUAAGCUAAGUCGCGAACUUACUCAAUUCACUUCCAAGAAUAAACGAUGGGACCCAAAAGACAAAACAUCUGUUAUCGUUCGGAUGUCACGAUCUUUCUUCUUGGAGAAACAUGAUCGAUUCUAUAAUAGGCUAAAAGGAAACUGUUCCUUUUCACAUAUAUGAUUAACCCAUUUCGGAAUCAAUCGUUACCUGAGACAGAAAGAAGGUAAAUUGAAGCUGGAACGAGAAAGAUACGUAAAAAAGUUUCAGUGGAAGCUGGAUUGAGACUUCGUGUCGGUUCUGCCGGUGAUUGAUUUUACCCAGGUAUGGCAUGCGAUCGGAGUUAUUUUAAGUGAUUUUUUUUUUUCAAUGAAUUUCAGUAAACUCUUCAUGUGAUAUAUAUUACACCAAUUGCUAUUGAAAUGUUUCUAUGCUGAGCUAUUGCUUAGAUUUACGUUUAUUCUAUUGAAAAAGAUGGCGCUAUUUAGUUCGAUGUAUAGAAUCAUAGGAGUGUAGUGUCACUGCUCGUAGGUUUGAGGAAGGUUGUAACAAAUUUUUAUCAAUUCCUAUGUGGCAACAGGUGCGUCAAGCAAUCUUGAUAAUCUUCUGUAGUAUUGGAGAUACUAAACAAAAGCAGCUUAAGCCAUGAAACCUGGCUAAUCUAAGAUACAAUCUAGGCUAGCAAGAUAAAACUCUAUAAAACAAACCAUGAAGCCCAGGGCCAAAAUGAAGAUUCUGUCACAAAAACACAGAAUUUGAACAAUAUAGCUCUAUACAAGCCACGAAGGAAAAGAGCUGUAGAUAUGGUUCAUGCCCCUGUAUUUCGACGCCCAAACCUCGCAACAAAACCAGCCUUGAUAGGAACUACAAAUUGGCCAGACCCACACAACAAAAAAACAAGAAUCAAACUUAUGUAUUGUUAAUAUGAGUUUGAACUAGUAGUAAUAAAUAAAUACGGUACCGAUAUUAUUAAUACCUGCUCACAUAUGAGAAAGAAGAGAUGAUUCCCAUUUGUAAGUAUAGUAUCUGGACUUUUGCAGCAACCACAUAUGACAAAUUUAUCUGCAACCACUAACAUAGAAUAGUGAAUCAUCAGAAAAAUAGGCAUUAACAGAAAGGGGUGCCACUAACAUGGUUGCAGAUCAACUACUGCUAUAAUAUGUCAAAAAGUUAAAUACACGAACUUACUUGUUAUCUACGUAGAAUCCCUUCAAUGUAUUUAGAAGCAAAUCUACCCUUCACAACCAAAUGCUGCUGUACAUCAAGAGAUCCACUUGUCUCCAUUUCAGAUAGUAAAAAUGUCACCACAUUCUCUGGCUGCCUGUGCAUCCUGAAAAUGAAUUAAAUAUUUACAAUAUGAAGAGAAAUAACAAAUUAUCAAUGGAGGUGGCAGUUGAUGAUAAGAAACAUAUUAAGUAAACACUUCCAAUAAGAUAUGAAAAUUAGAGAACAACUGAUUUCUGAGGAAAGAACGUAUAAUAAACACUUCCAAACUCAUCAUAUGUUAUGCAGAGAUCCAUGAAAUUCACAAAAGCAGUCUUCCUUGUGCCCUCUCUAAGAACUUGGGAUUUUUAUUUUUUUUUUGGGGAGGGCGGGGCUCAUGGCAGUCCUUUGCUUAUCUCUGGAAAGCUUGGGGUUAUUCUCAAAAAGACUACUGAACAAUCUAUUUAGAAGCUGCACUUUCACAAUAGGCAUAGACAAUAUACAAGAGCACAAUUCAUUGCAGUAAAAUCUCACUCACAACAAUGCAGGGCAUAUAACAUUUAAGAAAUGAAAAAUAGGUAUAUGAUAAGUCACGAUAUAAACACCUAUUAAAGUUUACUCAACACAUGGAGAAUACAACAAAACCAUAUGUAUUGAAUUAUUGAAUGAAUCCUCAGACUGCAAGAACACGAAAUAUUUACCUCUUCAAAAUUAUAGUCUCAGUCAGAUCCUUCCCAAGGAUAUCACAAGACUGUCUCUCCCCCUCCUUCCUUGCCUACAUCACUCCAGAAGAUGACAUAAAUAUCAUCUUAAUUGAUCUGUCGUAAGGUUUUAAGGAUUCUGAGCUAUAUUCCUUUACCCAAGAUUAAUAACUUUACAAUAGACAAUAAGCACUACCGUCAGAUAUGUUGUUUAAGCACAUGAAGAAUGGGCCCCAUAAUGGGCUUAACUUACAUUUUAUGUAAGUAACAUUCCGAGAAGUUGGAUUCCUUAAUUUGCAGAUCCAACGGGUGUGGUGAAACAUAACCUAAAAUUAGGUUUAGGUAGUGGUUGGAAAUUCAUUUUUAAAAACAAAAGAAUGGAUACUUGCUAAAACGGUUGUCGAAAAAAGCAAGCUAAGGGAUUAGUCGGAAAAGACAAUUUUAGAUGGAAAUGAUAAGUGAUGAGUGGUCGCUGGAAAAUCCAGAAAAUUGAAGACAGAAAGUACAGUAAUUAGGUUUUGAAAGUGGAAAGCAACAGAAGCAGCAAAUGAGAUAACCAAAUUCCUAUUUCAUUUUUUCCUAUCAAAAAUUAGGGAAACCAAAAAAAUUGCAGCCCCAUAAAAUCGAAGCUACAGGCGCUGGAAUGUGGCAGAAAUUACGAAUUACACAGUGUAGUCCAAGAAGAUAUUAAAGGAAGUAUAAUAUUUUUAAGUCUUAUUUUCGCAUUUCAUACUUAUAUAACAUUUGAAAUAAUUAUUAAAGCAUCUACUCCUUAAUUCAAUCGAAUCGCACCUAAAAACUAUUACAAUAUAUAUAUAUUUUGUUGAUAAAUUUCAAGUUACACUAACACAUACAUUUAUAGUUUUAUAACACUUCUAAUUAACCAAAAAAAUUGCUUAAAUUAACAGACAUAACAUAAGAAGCUCCAUGUUUUAUUUACAUAUCGGGUAAAACAUAACAAAGCUUUAUAUACAUAUACAAGUGCUACAAUAUACACACAUAAACAUAAAAACAUCAUUUCCCAUGCUGCCUUCUUCCAUUCUGUGCAUCCAGUUCUGCAAUUUUUUUUCUCUUUGAAUAAAUAGUUGCCAACUUUGACUCCUGAGGCUGGGAUGCAACCCACAAACUUCCUAAUUGUUACACUGACACAUCUACAUUUGACAUUAACCAAAAGUUCCGUCAAAUUACAUAUCAACCAAGAUAAUAACAAAAAAAUUUCACGAAAUAUGCAAUGGCCAACGUCAUUGUUGGAGUUUUUUUCUCACCUUCUCCAAUUUUGCAUUUGUUCCAAGAUGCACCUCUUAUUUCAUUCUUAGGUGUCAUAAAUGGUGAUGGAUCAUGUAACUUCGGAGCAAAACUAACUAAAGUAUCGAAAGAUUAUUGGCGCUCUGUCAGCACCGCACCCACUCUUGCUUCUUAUUGCAUCCCUAAUCUAAAUAAACAAAAUAUUCUGAAGCUCCAUUUCUGUAAAUGCUAAUAACAAAGUCAAAAUUUAAACUUUUCCCUUAAUUUAGCAAGGACAUCAAGGUUUCAAUUUGUUAACUAAUUAAUAUAUUCUAGUUUUGAAUUACAGAUAUUGCAGGCAUUGCAUUGAAUUGUACGAACUGUACAAAUACAAUUACAAAGAAUGGCACCGCGAAUAAAAGGAAAAUAUUGUACAGAAUAGAAUAUAUUCUAUAUAACUCCUAUAUAUUCAUCGUACUCUGCUAAAACAGAGAGAACAUAAUAAAAGGAAAGGAGAAAAUUAUUAAUUUUACAGAACCCAAAAGAAGAAAAAAUAUUGUUAUGGAAAAAUGAAAUUAAGAAGGUAAUUUAGCUUCUUUCCUUCAUUCUUAGAGAACUACAACGUAACAUGAUUCAUGGUGGCUCUGAAAAACAACUCAAAACAGAGAUACUAAACAAACCAAAGUACAGAUGCACAGCAACAGAAGCUAGCAGCGGCAUACAACCCUCAUUUAUAUUAAUAAAUAAACCAAACUACAAAUACUCAGCAGAAGAAUCCAGCAGCAGCAGAAGAAUCAAUCACCAGCAUACAAACCUCACAUAUAUUCAUCAUAUUAACCAAAUAUAUGCCCUUGUUGGCUCUGAAUAACAACUCAAAACAGAGAUACUAAACAAACCAAAGUACAGAUGCACAGCAACAGAAGCUAGCAGCGGCAUACAACCCUCAUUUAUAUUAAUAAAUAAACCAAACUACAAAUACUGAGCAUAAUAAUCCAGCAGCAGCAUACAAACCUCACAUAUAUUCAUCAUAUUAACCAAAUAUAUUCAUCAAUUUUAGCCAAAUAUUUCUAGGCUAACGCUAUUCAGACAUUUCAUCGAACACUUGAUGAAUAUGGUCCAUUUAAGACUUUCAAGCAGGAUAAAUUAAUCGCUGAUAUUACAAGUUCAUUAUUCCAACGGAAAAAAAUAACGAAAUAUAUUAUAAAUUUUUCAAACACUCUCUAACCUGUGAAACUGCAGCUCCCCGUCAUUUUUCCAUGUACUAGUAACGGAUAGAACUCUGAAACCAUUUUUUUUCCCCCUCGAUUUUCAGCCUUUGUUCAAUACAAUCAAAUAUAAAGCUAUAUGAAAUUUUCGCAUAUUUAGUUGCAGCAGCGAGCUGUUGCUUCUUCAAUAAUCCUCUUUCAAAAGUCGCGUAAAUUUUUUUCUCUUUCCAAUUUUUCCUUUCUUUUCAAAAUUUUCAGUGAUUACCGCCUUACCUUCAACCGGCUGUAAUGAUAAACGCAUGGGAUUGACUUUACCAUUGACCCAUUUUGCAACUGGUUUCCAUCCGGUUUCAACAAGUUUUUAUUACCCCCCCCCCAAAUUAACACAUGUUGCACUUACAUCAAUUAAAUAGUCAUAUCAGUUAUGUUUCUUACAUAAAAUGUAUCGUAAGCUUACCCCUGAAACUGAGCAGCGUUUGGAAAUUGGUCUUGCGCGACACUUGUCAGUUUUUUUCAUUUUUUUAUAGCUUUUCGUUACAUUUCUGACAAUUAAAAACUUAUAGUGCCCCUAACCAACUGGGCCUUGGCCCAGUAGAUAGGAUCCCGCACUCACAAUUGUGAACGCAGCGGUUCGAGUCCCCACGAUGCAUAUAGGGAUUUAUUUAUUUUUUUAAUUAUUAAGUGAAGACAGUCUUUUUCCGUUCAAAAUGUGAGUGGAGUAGAUACUCCUUGAAUAUUAGAGAGGAUAAAAUUUGGAAAAUGUUAUAUAAGAAUUAAUAUAAAUUAGGCUCAAUAAUUGUCUGAUUGUAAAUAUCAAUUGUAAAUCUCAUAUAAUAUGAGUUGUAAUCUGAGCAUUAAUCUCAUGUAAUUCAAAAAAAAAAAUUGUAGUGCUCCUCAAAACGAGAAACUAGGAUGGCAAAAAAGUUUGAUCCGAAUUUUAACUUGAUUGAUUUGUCUCGAAAUUUAAUGAUCAGAAUUCGGUUUCGAGCUUAAAAAUAAAAACCCAAUUAUAUUUGGGUCAGGGUUCGAGCUUUAUAUGGCCUGAUCUGAUUUGUUAACAAAAAAAUUUCACACGCACACGUUGUUUGCGCACACACAAACACAAAACACACACACUCACGUCACACGAUCACACACGAACACACACAUUUCCCAUUCUAAACCCUAACGCAAGAGAAGCAAUCACUGCCACACUCACGCCACCAACUUGCGACCAAUUUGAGCGCAGCCGUGACUCACGCCACCAACACACUACAGCCGCACUCUAUCACCAGCAUCGCUUGUGAUUUUAUUAUUUAAUUAGGGGAGUUGAAUUAAAAAAAUUGGUUGGGCUCGAACAAAGCCUGAGCAUGACCUUGACCCGAUCGAGUUGGGCCAUAAUGUGAAACUGAUUUUAGCCUUGGGCCUUUGUUGGUGUGAUUGGGUCGGGCUCGGAUUUGGUCAAGCCGGAGCCUGACCUAAUAAUUAAACAACCCUAACGAGAAAAAAAGUGACAAAUUCUUUAUUUUUUUGAAUAUGAUAAAUAAUAUGAGAGGCCAUGUGUCAUUCAUUGAAUAGACUCAAUGAAGAUAGUAUAAUAAAUUCAUUUUGUGAAUUUCAUCGCUCACUUGAUGGAAGAUGGAUACAUCACCAGUUUUUACUAAUUGACGAACAUAAACGAAAUAAUUUAUUAUUUUAAAGUUGUAACAAAAAAAAAAGACGGUCAUUCAAUUUUUUCGAUUCCACUGAUGGACAUUUUCUCUCUCUUAAAAGUCUCCAAAAAUUGACGUCGUGGAUGGCUUGGGGUGGGGUAAGGAGUUUGAUUCUCACAAAGUGCAGUGUGAAUUCCACAUUAGGUUUACGAAUUUGGAAAUAUUUAUAGAUUUUUUAACCCACCCUUCAUAAAACGCGCCUUCAAAGCAUUUAAACCACCGUAACCACCGUCCUCCUGUCCUGUUCUGGCCCCGCAAGAUUAAAGCGACCCACACGCAAUCUGGACCUACAGAUUCCUUGUUUUGAAUCGGUGGGCCAACCCCGCCACAUUAAAUCAAACGCCACCAAAAUGACAGUCAACGAGCACUUCCGCAAAUGAUCACAAACCGCGUAGGCGCUUCCCCUAAACGCGCUUAUUAUUAUAUUGUAUUGUACAUCCACUCCUGAUAACUCACAGCUCGUUAAGAGUGAUGAUCUGUCACCCUAUCAUAACCCACUUUCGUCAUACCCACUACCCAGUGGCAAAUCCCGUAAUAGACCAAAGUUGCCAAGGUCCUUCCAGCAAUUUCAACAGUUCCACCCUUCAGGUUGUCUUUUAUUGAUUAAAAUUUCAUUUUUUUAAAACGAUUGCAAAUUACUGACCUAAUCGACGAGUUAAAAUAUUGUGCAAAAUUGCAAUAAACAUCCAGCCCCUUUUAUUUUAGUAUAAUAUCGAAUGAGUGCAUACGGGUUUUUUUUUUCCAUGAAGUCCCUACCGUCAGAUUAAAUAUAAUAAAAUGAGUGUAAUCCAAAUUUUCAAGAUUUUGAGCAGGUUACAUAUAUAUAAUAGUAGAGUGAUAAAAUUACAUUUUGUAUUAAGCUAACUUUAAUUAAUUUCGACCAUAAAGCAUUUAAAUUUUUAAGUUUGGCUUCCUUUGGGGAAUAUUUAGAGUUCAGGGAUACAAUUGUUAUUAUCGGUUAAAUAAGCAGCAGUAACAACCCACUGCCAGUAUAAAAUUCGGACACAGCUCGAUUCCAGCUUCUCGGUUCUUUCAAACCUCCGUUUCUUUCUCUCUCUCUCUCUCUCUCUCUCUCUUUCUUUCUCUCUCUGUCUCUGUCCCUCUGCCCCUCCACGGAAGCUCUUAACUCGUGUUCUGUCCGAUUCGACUCAGUGAGUUAGUCCGCUUCAUGCUAAGGUAACGUUCGCUUAACUGCCCCCUUUAGUACCCACAGCUUUCUUUCGGACUUGAAAUGUUCCCAUUUCUCAAGUAUUUUUCUUUUUUUCUCUGUUUCAGCUUCUCAAAGUCUUUGGAUCUGAAGAAUUCCUGCUUGGAUUCAUAAUUUGUUUAGCUGAAAAGUUUGUCCUUUGAGCUCAUAACUCAUUAAAAAAAAAAAAGUUCUGAUCUUGAAUUUACAGAGUCAGAUCUUGCUUGUUCAUUUGUCUUUUUCAGUGUCCUGAUUGAAUUCUUCUGCUCAUAUAAAUCUUUCCUAGUUUAAAAUUCCUGUCAACUAAGCUGAUUUGUUAAAAAGAAAAAAAAUCAGCUUUUUAUGUCCAUGAAGAACUUAAAUAAGCAAUUUCUUGCUACCCUCUUCAUCUUUCUUUCCUUAGCUUCUGCUAUUCAUGUCACCUUAGCUGCUGAUUACAUACCCAGUGAACAAAUUCUCUUAAAUUGUGGUGAAUCCUCAAUACUCAGUGAUGACGAUAAACGGAGUUGGACUCCUGAUAUCGGGUCAAAGUUUUUGUUAUCAACUAAGGAUUCCACAACCUCCAAAGCUGCCACUCAAGACCCUUCUACACCGACAAUUCCUUACAUGACCGCUAGGGUUUUCCGUUCUGAGUUUACCUACAGUUUCCCUGUUGUUGCUGGUCGUAAGUUUGUGCGGCUUUAUUUCUAUCCGAAUUCAUACAAUCGGCUUAAUGCAACCGAUGCUCUCUUUUCGGUGAGUACCGGGCCUUUUACUCUUCUUAAGAACUUUAGUGUUGCUCAAACUGCAGAAGCUUUGAAUUAUGCUUAUGUUAUUAAGGAGUAUGCGAUUCCUGUCGAUGGGGAAACUUUGAAUAUCACGUUUAGUCCUAUGAAUGUUUCAAAUGCGUAUGCGUUUGUGAAUGGGAUUGAGGUGAUGUCAAUGCCUGAUAUUUAUAAAAAUACUGAUGGAGAUUUGAUGAUUGUGGGUCAAAGUUCUCCUAUCUCCAUUGAUAACACUACUGCUCUUGAGAAUGUUUAUCGGUUGAAUGUGGGUGGAAAAGAUAUCUCCCCUUCAGGAGAUACAGGUCUGUUUAGGUCUUGGUAUGACGACCAGCCAUACAUUUUUGGAGCAGCGUUGGGGGUGCCGGUGACAAUUGGUCCAAAUAUGACGGUUAGGUACCCGAGUAACAUUCCUUCCUAUGUUGCACCUGUUGAUGUCUACGCCACCGCCCGACAAAUGGGGCCAAAUCCUCAAAUCAACUUAAAUUACGAGUUGUCUUGGGUUUUCAGUGUUGACUCAGGAUUCUCUUAUCUGGUUAGGCUUCAUUUCUGUGAGGUUCUUCCAGAGAUAACCAAAAUUAAUCAGAGAGUCUUUGACAUUUUGCUCAACAAUCAAACUGCUUUUCCUGCAUUUGAUGUGGCUGGGUUGACAAAUGGUAAUGGAAUUCCAUUAUAUCAGGAUUUUGCGGUUUUUGUUCCAGGUAAUGGACCUCAGAAGGAUCUAUGGCUUGGGCUACAUCCAAAUGUGGCUUCAAAGACACAGUAUUAUGAUGCAAUCUUAAAUGGAGUUGAGAUAUUCAAAUUAAGUGAUCCAAAUAGUAAUCUUGCUGGGCCAAAUCCUAUCCCUGCUCCUAAACAGGAUGUAGUUGAUCCAUCUUUGGCUCUACCAUCGAGUUCCUCGGGUAAUUCAAAGCAGAAAGCAAUAAUUGGUGGGGGUGUUGGUGGAGGAAUUGCUCUAGCCCUUGUCGUUGGCUUUUGUGUUUUUGCUGCAUCUCGUUGCCGCAGACAAGGGAAGGAUCCGAGCUCAAGUGAUGCGCAAUCUGGUUGGCUUCCUCUUUCACUCUAUGGAAAUUCACACUCUGCUGGAUCAGCCAAGACAAACACUACAGGAAGUUAUGCAUCUUCCCUUCCUUCAAAUCUUUGCCGCCACUUCUCAUUUGCUGAGAUAAAAGCUGCCACUAACAACUUUGAUGAAGCUCUACUUCUUGGGGUUGGAGGCUUUGGCAAAGUGUACCGUGGAGAAAUCGAUGGUGCAACAACUAAAGUUGCUAUCAAGCGUGGGAACCCACUCUCUGAGCAAGGUGUGCAUGAGUUCCAGACUGAGAUUGAAAUGCUCUCAAAACUUCGACACCGACACCUUGUUUCAUUGAUUGGUUACUGUGAAGAGAACUGUGAAAUGAUACUUGUAUAUGAUUACAUGGCUUAUGGAACACUGAGGGAGCAUCUUUACAAAACUCAAAAGCCCCCUCUGCCAUGGAAGCAAAGGCUUGAGAUAUGUAUUGGGGCUGCUCGAGGUUUGCACUAUCUCCACACUGGUGCCAAACACACGAUUAUCCACAGAGAUGUUAAGACUACCAAUAUUCUUUUGGACGAGAAGUGGGUGGCAAAGGUUUCUGAUUUUGGUUUGUCAAAAACAGGUCCUACGUUGGAUCACACUCAUGUCAGCACUGUUGUGAAGGGUAGUUUUGGCUAUUUGGACCCAGAGUACUUCAGGCGUCAGCAACUAACAGAGAAGUCUGAUGUUUAUUCUUUUGGUGUCGUGCUCUUCGAAAUCCUGUGUGCCCGACCAGCCUUAAACCCAACUUUGCCCAAGGAGCAAGUGAGCUUGGCUGAGUGGGCUGCUCAUUGUCACAAGAAAGGAAUACUCGAACAGAUUAUGGACCCUUAUCUCAAGGGAAAGAUUGCACCUGAAUGCUUCAAAAAGUUUGCCGAGACAGCAAUGAAGUGUGUAUCUGAUCAAGGUAUUGAGAGGCCAUCAAUGGGCGAUGUGCUGUGGAACCUAGAGUUCGCUUUGCAGCUACAAGAGAGUGCAGAGGAAAGUGGCAAAGUUCUUGGUGGAGGAAUGGACAUUGAGGAAGGAGCAUUUGAUGUCGACUGUAAAGGUAAGAAAGAUCCCAACGCAUGUUCAGGUUUUAAUGGCAACAUCACAGAUUCGAGGAGCACUGGAAUGAGCAUGAGCAUAGGUGGCCGGAGCUUAGCAAGUGAAGACUCAGAUGGGUUAACACCAAGUGCAGUAUUCUCACAGAUCAUGAACCCCAAAGGGCGAUAGAAUCACAAGCGUCCUUGCCAGAAUCCGGUAAUGCAACUGGAUUGCUUAUCAACUUGUCAGUUUACUUUGGCUUAUUCAUUUAUUUACCAAUAAUCAUUUUUCUCUCUUUCCCCCCCCCCCCCCCCCCNNNNNNNNNNNNNNNNNNNNNNNNNNNNNNNNNNNNNNNNNNNNNNNNNNNNNNNNNNNCUUCACAUGUUUUGAUCAUGUCACAAUUUGUAUCUAGUAUCUAAGAUUAAAUGAAAGAGUGUAAAAGCAAUUUGUUUUCACUUCAUUUCAACGAGUAUCAUGUCACAAUUUGUAUUUUGUUAUUUAUAUAUAUUGUCUAUAUAUUUUUCAUAGCACGCUUAGUUUCAUAUAGCCGGUUGUGAUUGUGAUAGGACAACCGUUUGAUGACUCAAAUCUCAAAUCUGAAAAGAAUCAACAGUAGGAGUGUAUAAUAAAACCUAUGUGCCCUCUGCCAUAAAAUUCGGCUGAUUACAUGUGAGUGGGGGCCUUGUUAGUGGAUCUUAUAGAAAGGCCAUUAUGCAAGGCAACGACCACAUUCAGUAUCCUUUCUAUUUAUUUCCCAUUUUAAUAAGAUUACUAGAAAUAUAAAAAUUAAAAAGAAUUGGGGGGGCAGGGUAUUCUCAGAUAAGUUGGCAAACGUGGGAAGGGGCUAGUGGAGAGAUGGCUUGGGGUCCUCUUUAUACGCGGCUAUAUCUUUUCUUGAAUAAUUGACCUUUGUGACAGAGCAAGGUCCUUGAAAUAUAUAAUACUAAUUUUUUAUUCUGCUUUUUUGAUUUUCACCAAGAUUUUAUAUUGUUAGUUUGAUUUGACUUUAAUGUUGGCACGUAAGGUACUUGAUUCUGGACACAACGUUUAAAUUAGGAAAGUGAGACCACUCGUUUUAUGAUAAUUUCAUUUCGCAACUGCCAAAUAAAAGGUCACAAAAAAAAAAUAAAUAAAUAACUUGUAAUGAACCGCAUGUGAACUUGUACCAAUUCACAGCUAUGAUUCAAUGAGUGAAAACUCUUUCCAACAGAAGCAAAUCUGGCAUAAACAUGGAGAGAAAAAAAAUGGAAAAUAACUUAAUUUGGUCCAGGCAAAUUCUUUAGAAAAGGCACCGCCACUUGUAACAUUUAAAGCAGAAACAACCGCACAGAUAAGGAAUAACAGUACAUCCACCCACUUUCUUUCCUUUAGUGGUUCCAGCCAGACCGAAAGGAGGAGGAAAGAGUCAACAAUGCGUAGGAAGCUGUAUGCAUUAAUGUCUUUUUCUGUCAAAUUUUGUAAGCAAAUAUAUGAGAAUAUCCUCCGAUGCCGAGCGAAUUGCACGGAUAAAGAUUCAAAAAAAAAGAAUUGAUCUAAUGUUAUAAUCUAUAUAAGGUUCCAACAUUAUUAUUAGAAAAUAGGCCGCAAAGAAUUGAAGAACUACAGAUGAGUAUACAAAAAGAAUUUAAUUAUGUGAAUCGAAAAAUAAACAUUGCUAUUACAAGAAUUGCAGGUCCUUGUGGACACCCCAAUAUUCUCGCCGAAUUUAUAACUGGCCAAUUAAAAAUCGGGUUUCUUUUCUCAAAGCAACGAACAAAGCUAUUAAAUUUACGGAACAUGCUGAUACAAAAGGAAUUCAAGUACAAAUUGUAAGUGAUGGGUAUGGAAGUCAGAAAAAAGUAGACUUUGAGGUCUAUUGACGACACAAGAGUGGUGACUAAAAGAUGUUAUUCAUUUCUAAGGAAAAAAAAAAAAAAAAAACAGUAACGGUGCAUAUAUUCUCAUAUUUCCAUUUCAUUGUUUCAUGAACAGGGUUGGAUUGAAUCACAAAUCACAUAAGCAGCCAUUUCUACAGAAAGUAAUGCAUAAAUAUACAACGAAAGUAAUGCAUAAAUAUACAACCCCAUUUCAUUGUUUCAUGAACAGGGUUGGAUUGAAUCACAAAUCACAUAAGCAGCCAUUUCUACAGAAAGUAAUGCAUAAAUAUACAACCAAAAAAAAAAAAAAAAUCUUGCAAUCAAGCAAUCUUAUCUAACUACUAGCACAGAAACAUACACAGAUUGGUGACAAUGCUAACACAGAUUGGACGACCAUUGUAAUCAUCAUUUUUGACUUGGGACAACUGAGUCUACAGCCGCUGCUACCUUCUUCUGUAGCUCUGGCUUGUUUGCUCCAACUAGCUUGUCAACUUGCUGCCCAUCUUUAAGAAAGAAGAAAGUUGGAGUGGCUUUGAUAUCCCAUGAAGUGCUGAACUCCUGCAUCACACACAAGAAGCCAUGCUUCCAAUAAUUGCUAUUUCACCCGGACAAAUCUCAUCACUAUAGAAGUUCAGCAGAUUUUACCAUACAAACCCAAUAACAUCAGCGUAUAGAAUGAUUUGCACAAUAAAUUUGCCUGGAUUGUUACUUCUUGAUUUCCUAUCUUGUGAAUGUUCUUAGGAAAAUUGCUUAUGACUUAUGAGUGCAGUCCGUUGGCAUCAGUAAAGGCAUUCCAAGAUCAAUUGUUAAAAUUUCUAAGUCAGGUUUCUUCAAAGUUCAAAAAAAUAGUAUAUUACUUACAACUAGUUCAUCAACAUCGACCAAAAGGAACAUUAACGAAGGGUAUUUCUCAGAUAGCUCGCUGAAGAAUGGUGCAAUCAUUCUACAAGGACCACACCAUGUUGCGCUGAAGUUCGCAAUCACCUGUUCAAUCAUAUAUUUAUGAAAGAAGACUCAUCAGAUAAGUCAAAUUAAACUUCACUAAUCAGUCUUAAUUGAACUAUAACUACAAGCCAGGAUUGAGUAUUCUGUCUGUAAGAGGUGGAAAAAAAUUCUAGCAAAUAUCUAGCGACACCAAGAAGCAAUCUAUUCAGAUAAGGAAAACAUAAAAGGCAACAGUGAUGAAGCAUAAUGUACUCAACUUUCUUUUCGUGAAUCCACAAAAUGCAAUAUUAAAAGAAUUUUAGAACAGAACUCAUUAUACUUGACCUAAAUUCAUUCAUUGAAGAUAUUAGCGAUUAUUCCCAGCUUCAUAGUUGAUACCGGCUAUUCUGUGAUGCAAACGUCAAACAUGACAUUUGACAUUUUUAAAUAAGGACUUAUAUUUGCUGUAAAUCUUUGAUUCUCAAAUGUGAAAUUUUGAGCAAGGGUGCCAACCUCAAAAUAUCAAAGAAGCCUACGCCUUAAUGCUUCAUUCUUGUGAUUUAUAGAGGCCAGAUUUGUUGGCACAUUAUAGGAUUUGAAUACUCAACAAAACAUAAAACAUUCUGGUCAAAACAAACCAAAGCAGGCCAUUCAACAUGAUCAUCAAAAUCCCAGACAGCAUAUGCUAAAUGCUCUUUCUCUGGCCUGAAAAUAAGGUAACAGAUAACUUACUAUCUUCCCUUCCCUACUAGCUUCUGACAUCUUUUGGUCCCAUAUAUCUUUGGUGGUAACAAGACUCACAUUCCCACCGGCAAACUCAACAGGAUGUUCACCAUCCUCCUCAUCAUGUUGACGCUACAAACAUCAUGAACAUUGCACAGUUAGGAUGAAAACGGACAAGUCUUAUAUAGUUGCUUCACUAAAACGGCCAAAACAACAAAUAUUCGCAUAUAUGGUCGUCGAUUUCAUAGCUUUCAAAGAUUUUCAUCCAUUUACUAAGAUUAAGCCAUAAGAGAAAAAACAGAAUUUCAUGCGCCAAGAAACAGAAAAAUUCCGCAGACUCCAGGCUAAAAGUAAUUACCUUGGACAAACAUGUUCCCAUAUUGAAGCUUUGAAGGCCAAAUUCCUGAAAGCUAACAGUUAACAGACGGAUAACCUGAAAGUUGAAGACUAUCAAUGUGACAUAUCUGGAAUUGCAUAUAAACUCUCUUUUAACUGUUCAUUCUAGUUGAAAACAAUAACACAAAUGAAGCCAUCAAAUCCUUUCUCUUCAAAGUCCUAUUUAAGUAAAUAAAUUCAGAACUAAUGAUCUUGUCCAAAUAGAGCAGAGUAAAACAGGCGUCAGUAGCCAUAAUUACAGAAGAUAUUCAGCAAAUUUAGAAAUAUAAUUUUUGCAUCUCUAUUGCUAGUUCAGAUUAUUCUAAUAAAAAAGGUCCUUACAAAAAUAUUGCUUUCCAGGCGUUAGCAUUUAAGGCAUCAAAUUUCCAGCUUCUUUCGAACAAAAAGCAGGUAAUAAUUUCCUAUUAACAAAAUGAAUUAUAAGCAACAACAAAUAACACAAAUCUAUCAAACUCCAUUGCUUUAGAAGAUUAGCUCAAUCUUAGCACUUAAUUGGCAUUGAUCAGGCCAAAAAAAUAAAAAAUUCAAUUAAAAAAUGAAAUCUUUAAAACCGAAACAAAACAUAGGAACGAAAAUUUAAAUGAAUUUACCGUAAACCUAAACAAUAUCAUCGAUUAAAGGAGCAAAGAAAUUCGAGAUUAACUUAAAUUGGAAAUCAGAAUAGAAAGAUUCAAAUUUUCAAAACCUUACCAGACAACAAAACGCCGACGUUCACAGAAUUGAGAAGGAUACACAGGUAUAUAAUAAAGAUGGGAGAGUAUCUAUCUGCGAUUAAAAAUAAACGUCUCGUUAUUAUGGAAUUAAAAGAUGAUUAAGGGAAUAAAUCACAGUUACCAAACAACGUGAACAUCGUUUUUUUCAGUGUGAAUGUAUUUGUGUUUUGUUUGUUUCUAAAUUCGGGUACCAAGCUGUAAUUACGUUAUUAACCUCACCAUGUCGGUUAAAUGAUUACUUUGACUGCUACCCAGACCUCUGUCAGAGCAAGGAUCGUAUUUACUUGAAUACCCUUCUUAUUUAGUUGUAUGUGAUUGUAGGCUUUAUAGCCAUUUAUAGGUGAGCGGGCAUCGGGGGCGUUAUGGUCAAGUUUAAUGGAGUCAGUAUGUGGCUAGUAACUAGUAAAUAGAACGGUCAUGGGGGCAUAAGUCAGAAAAUAUCAACUGUUUUGGUGGUUAGAGAAUUUUCUUGGAAUCAUCGAAUUUUCAAUUGGUGAAUGUGAAUUCUGAUGGGGACGCUGAGCCUUUGUAGGAAAUUAUCACUGGGAAUAACGACGGGGUCAAGGGCCUUGCAAUUUGAAAUCAACUGUGGCACCCCGAUCCAAUUUCUGGUUUCCUACAAAGAAAUCCAUGAAAAUGGACCAAUCGACAACGAGAUACUGCGAUGCAACUAUGGGAACCUUUUAUUCUGUUGAAUUAGAGAGUCAGCCCGGAAAUUUAAAAACAAAGAGAGCCAAUCGAAUCGGAUGGGCUAGUCAGCUUCAACGCCUCAACAGUAGUUUUUUAUAGAAGAGGGAGUUGAGUUGGAUUGUCUAAGAUGCAAAGUUGAAACAGUUCACAGAGUCUGUGCCAGAAUUUAUAAGUGAAAACAAACGAAUAAAGAUAUCAUAGAAAGAAAAAGUCUUACGAAUUUCAAGUACCAACAUGAUUCGCCUAUUUUAUCACAAGUUUUCUAUUAUGGAAGAAAUUUCCAAGGAAGGAAGCGAAGGCGUUUGUUUCUUCAUGAUUAUUGCAUGAACACAGACGCGGCGAUGUAAGAAUGUUUGGUGCAAAAUAGUAAACAAGUACUUAAGACCAUUAACUACGUUCCAUCGAAGAAGCUUCAAACACAAACAUUCAACAUUAACAUAAAAACGUCCCGCCCUUGCAACUCCUCCCAACACCAUUCUAAAACACCAACGUCUGCCCUCCCCAAAGCAAGUUAAAGAAAAUAGAUAGACAACACACACAACAUAUUUCAAUAAAUGCUCCUUUUUCUGCAAUAUCCUAACAACCUUCAUCCCAUGGCAUACUUCUGUGUCCAGCUCCUGGCCGUGGAUUCAUAUUUGGCCUUGUCGGACUUGUACAUGUGGGCAAUCUCCGGUACAAGAGGGUCGUCGGGAUUUGGAUCAGUAAGCAAGGAGCAGAUAGAGAGCAGGACCUGAUACACAUAUAAUUUUCAGCUGCAUAACCAACAACCAACUACUAUAUUGCCAUAAACUCAAUAUUUGAAACAGUAUUUUUACAUCAACAUCAAGAGUUUCCUCUCAAUCCACCACCAUCCAACCCCUUAUUAAAGCCAGAUUUCAACAUAGGCAUAUACUUAUAGAUUUACUGAAAUAGACUUAACAGAUGACAAAGCUUGAAAAAACUUGUACAGUUAAUGUCAAAUAAUUUCACCACAAAUAGAAGUGUAUUUGUAGGACACUGAAAGGUGUGACGAAAAUGAGAGUGAUGUUGAUCGUUUAAAUAUUUUUUAUAUAGCUGUAAUCUCAUUGUGGAGGCUUAAUUGGACCUUGGGUAGAAGGGAAGAAAGCUAGCAAAAUGAUUGAGAAAUAAAGAAGGACAAAACAAUUUCUUAAUGAACUGGGAAAUUUCAGUUCCUUUCCCUCAAAUAUCUCUGAGAUGAGAUAAAAAGAGCACGUAUCUGCUAUCCAACUUACUUUGCAAGAUCCAAAGAUGCACUUGGGAGUACAACUUUAUGAUCCCAGGGUCAGUUUUACCUGGCUGUGCAAGACCAGAGAGUUGUACGCCACUACUAAACCAGAAUAAAAAGAUUUUAAACACAUAAAAUGCUACUAAUUAAAUCCAAAAGGAGGGAAUUCAAACCUUUGAAAUGGUAAGCGCUUGAUUUGCAUUCAAAAGAAUAGUCACCUUUGGGGGCUUGAAAGGAUAAUCAGGAGGAAAAUGAAUGGUAACUAAAAAUACACCUCCUGCAUAUGGGCUAUCAGAAGGGCCCAUAAUUGUUGCUUGCCAGUGGAACAUGUCUUCAGCCACAGGGCCUGUUAAAUCAUCAAACAAGCAUUGAAAGACUAUCAAAAUCACAAAUUUAGUUUAGAUUAGAUGAAUUGAUUAAAAAUAAAAAUAAAGUUACACAUUCAGUGGCAAUACAGGCACAGCAUUUUUUACCCAAUUGAUGUGGCAUAGUAGACAACACUCAUUGAUAGGUGAUACUUAAUUACGCAUUAACAAUGAAAUAGUAAAAUCAACAACAGCCUCCAAUAAGCUACACAUUAAAGAUGGGAUACGGCGUUGUUCCCAAUUGACAUGGCCCCCAUUGAUAGAGGCUUACUUAAUUUCACAUCAGUAUUGAAAAUAAUAAAGUCAACAACAGCCUCCCAUAUGACAGCUAUUGUUCAAGAACAUGUAAAUCUUUUGUUAUCCAAUUAUAGGAUCGGGAAUUAAAUAUAAAUGUAGAUUUAGUUCAUUCAGUUUUUUAAUACAUACAAAGAAAAAGUGACCAUAAACUUCAUGCUCUCUUUGGAAAGGUUGAAAACAACCAGCAGCCAAUGAAACGACUCCAGCAUGAUAUACGUCGGUAGCCAAUCAGAAUUCAGAAUCAAUCGUAACAAAUUUCAACAACGUGUUGACACAAACAGCAAAUAUAGAUCAAGUAAACCCUAUCACCAAAUGAUACGAAAUAUAAGUAAUCUAAAAUGUGGUUCAAAUUGAAAAGUAACAAAAAUUUAUACCAGCGCUGCAAGACGUGGGAGGAUCCUUCUGCAAAUCCUUGAGUUCCUUCAAAAUACGCUUUGAAGCCAUGACUCUUCAAGGGAUUAUUAAAAUUGAAACUACAACGAACCUUAAGACCUGCGAAACUAUAAACAGAUCCAUAUACGGCUUCUUAAUUAGACUAUCCAAGCCUGUAAAACAACAAAUUAUUUGAUCUACUGCAUCUGAAUAAAAAAGUUCAAAUCAAAAUUUCGAAAAUACUAAAAAUAUAACUACGCAAACUGACCUUGCGCGGCAGAGAACAGGAUCGGAGAGCGAUAGCGUCGAGAAAGCGAAACGGUGAAGCAGAUCUAGGUCGUCAAGCCGCCCCCGCCUCGCUCCUCUAUCAACCCCUUGCUUUGUUGUCCUUCAACACAAAUAUCGUCGAG
rnacentral:lncRNA from 1 species